rnacentral:lncRNA from 1 species
UUCGAUAUCCAAGAGAUUGUUUUGAUGGUGGCAUCGUUGAUAUUAUGUUGCCCGGAAGUGAAAUUCCAGAAUGGUUUAGCCAACAAAAAAGUGACUCUUCAAUUAAGAUACCCCUACCUAUCAACCUUUGGAAAGAUAGUCAAUGGAUUGGAGUUGCUUGUUGCUGCAUUUUUGUCAAUAAUGAUGCUUCAAGGAAAGAGUUUAUUAGCUGUGAUGGAUCUAUUUUUCGAGGUAGAAAUUGUCGAUCUAUUUGUAAGAGAAACAAGUGGGUAGGUCAACGCUUGGACAAGCCCAUAAUGAAAGAUCACCUUUUUUUUCGUUAUUUUCCGCGUGAUCAAUCAUAUCCAUUUUCCUUGGAGGAUAAAUAUGGUGACUGUGAAACCAAUAAUUUAUGGACAACAGAUUGCUUAGAUCAACUAUGCGAUGAGCUUGAGUUGUCUUUCAAUGACAAAUUUGUACCAAAUUGUGUUAAGGUGAAAAAGUGUGGUCUAAGAAUAGUGCAUGAGAAAGAUUUGGAAGAGAUAAAAGAGUUGCAGUGCCAUACCACUCAAUCUUCUCCAAAUUUUGAACACAUCCACCAACACUCUGCUCACAACCGUGGAUCAGUAGGUAGCACUUCUCACAUGAAACGAAAACGUAAUAUCUAUGAGGAAAUGGAGGAAGAAGAGCCGCAAUCAAAACGGAUGCAAAAUUUUUUCAAUUUUGUAAUGGGCCAAUCAAGAAAGAAGCAUUAACUGUGGUAAACUACUUAACCAACUUUGUCCCAUUAAUUUUUUUUUGCGUAUGUGAUAUUUCCUUCAUACUCAUAUUCAACAUGUACAUAUCUCAAAUGUUUUAUACCAUUUAAAAUUUAACCAAGGAGGACUUCUUAUUCUUUCAGUUAAAUUCUGAUUACUUCAGUGAUAUUCUAGCCAUUUUAGCCCUUCUCUGUGUCUAUUUAAAGGAGUCAUUGUAUCCCUGUUUUGAUACGCAAAUCAGUAAUAGCUCUUCUUUAAGGGUAGCAAGAUGUAGUUAUAUAUGGGGUUUUGGUGAGAGUUUGAGAGGAUUUUAUGAAAUCCCUUUUGUGAGAGCUUUGGGUAUUAACUUUGUAAUCGGGGUUUGGAUUUUAGUGUUCUCAUUGUACUCUUGUUUUGUUUACUCCAUUAAUGUUAAGCCGAAGCCUCUUUUGUCCGUAGUUUUUAUUCUCUUUGGAAGAGUUUUUUAAUGUAAAAUAAUUGUGUUUAUUCUUCUCCACUUUUAUUAUUUCAUUAUUUAUACCGACAAUCCCAAAUAUAUAUUAUGAGUGAGACUUAAAUUUCAUCAAACGUUUAAUAAUUUUAAUAUUAAAAUAUAUAUCCUUUUUAAAAUAAGUGAAUUUAGGUCAAAUUAAAUGAAAAGAGGAACUGAAUUUCUAAUUAGGUGUUAAUGGAAUCUUUUAUUUUAAUUCAAGUGUUUUGUUAGUUCAUAUAUGGCUUACUUAGUUUAUGGGUAUGCAUGGAUUAAAUGAAAAAAAAUAAAUUAAUUAAGUUGAUAAGUAUUAAUUUAUGAAUAAAAAUUAAUUUAAAAUUUUUAAAAAUUAAAUUAAGUGAAAUAAAAUUUCGUAUCUAAUUUAUUAGAGUUAAUUUAGAAAUUUAAUCAAAUUAGGUUAAAAUAUUUUUUAAUUUAUUAUUUAAAAUUUUGUAUAUCCAAAUUAUAAAAAUCAAACUCGAUUCAAAUCCGAAAAAGUCGGAAAACUUUAAUAAUUUCCCUAACUCAAACUAAUUUAGCCACCUAUUAAAACCACUUUAUCAAAGCCACACCGUCGUACCAAAUCAUAAUAAAAAGAAAUUUUUAAAAAAUUACAAAACUAAUCCUUAAAAUUUUAGAUUACCAAAGUCAAAACUUAUCUAAAAUGGGGCAGGUACCAAAGUUGGUGCCUUUAUCAUGCUUUUUCUUCUUCUUCCUCCACAGGAGUUUUUUUAUUAUUUAUUUAUAUAUUUUUUUACACAUUAAAAAUUAAUUAUAUAUAUUGGCAUAUUGUAUAUGUAUGUCAUGUUUACAUUACUUACAUAUUAUAAUAUAUUUUAUAUAGCUUGUCAUAGUUAUUUAAUAUAUUCGUUUUAUUGUUUAUGUUUGAGGCUCGUGAUUAUCCUCCUAAUAAUAUUUGAAUUUGCGUUCAUUCUUUAAAAGUAUAAUGUGACUUACUACUACCCUCAACAUUUAUAUUCAUCUUGAAUUUUACAUAAUUUCUCAUAUUCAUUUAAUAUGUAUAUUUACAUUAUUUUUUUCUUCGGAGUACCAUAAAUUUAAAUAAAAAUUGACAUGGUAAUGAUUCAUUUUAAGUGAGAGUUUAACAUAUUUGUUAUUUGUGUCAUGUAUAUAUAAUCUUGAUGGCAGCAGAACUAUGUGUUUUAAUUAUUUUACAUUAUUUUAUUAUGUAGGUUUUAAAAUAUUGGGAUAAAUCUCAAAAUUAUAUAUUAACUUUGAUUCAAUGUGCAAUUUGAUAAAUGAGCUUUGAUUUGGUGCAAUUAUACACGUGGAACUUUGAUUUUGAUUCAAAUGUAUAUAUGAAACUUUGAUUGUGGUAUAUUAACAUAAAAUGAUACUAUAUUAAUAAUUUGUGAGAAUUGGAUACAAUGAUACAUCAAUUUAUAUUUAUAUUGGAUAAAUAUAAUUGUAUGUGUAUGUAAUAUAUUAACAUAAAAUGAUACCAUAUCAAUAAUUUGUGAGAAUUGGAUACAAAUCAAAAUUUCAUAUAUAAAAUUGCACAUUAGACCAAAGUUCAUGUAUAGUUUUGAGAUUUAUCCCCAAAUUAUUUCAUAUAUUUAUAUUAAAAAAUUCCAUUUAUCCUCUUUCAUAAUAAUUUAAUUUUAAAUCUAAAUUUAUUUACUUAAAAUUAUAUUAUUACGCUAACAUAUAUUACUAUAAUGGAUUACGUGAUGUGACAGGUUGUUACAAAGGAGGUUGCCAUCGUGGAGCACUAGAAGAUCGUGUGUUGUGGGGUCCAUUAUGGUAUUCAUUUAGGCGGUACGGAGUUGUUAUGCACAAAUGAGUCCUAUUGAUUGCUCAAGAGAAUGUUCACACUGAAAAGCGAGUUGCUAGACCAUGGUGAGCAAGUAGCUAAGUAAAAGGGGAAGUGUUUCCCAUAUAAGCAACUGGUCUAUAGUAGGCUAGGAGGUAGAUUGAUUGAGGGCAAUCUAGAUGAGUGGGUAGAUGUAGGACAUUCUCUAUUGUCUAGAUGGAGUCUCCUAGAUGUGUCAUGUGUUAGGCCCGGGUGAUAGGUAUAACAAAAGUUCAUGUACAAGUAUUAGUCUUGCUUUUGCCAAUAGUCUUGUUUUAAUUUGCAAGUAUUUUUAGGGAUAGAUUUAUAGUCUUCCCUUUCAGUUUAGUAAAUACUUAGUUUUCUUGCUGAUUUUGCCCUUACUUUGGACUCUCAGGAUUGGUUUUCUUAUCAUGUUAUUUGCUUAUAGUCACUUUAGAUAUAUCGUGUUUGAGUCGUGACAAAAUCAGUUGUCAACAUACUAUAAUGUUCUAUUCUUAGUAUGUUGAAGUCUUUGUUUGUGUUGAUGGAACUUGUCCAUUAUCAGUGACAAUGAGUGUUUGUUGUAUCUUUAUUUUCUCCGAAUUGUGUGGUCCCAUUCAUGAAAUAAAUGAAUUAAUUUUUCUUUCACUUUUCUUCAUAUGAUAUAAAUUGUAUAAUAUAUAAAAUAAAUGAAAAACAAUAUAUGAUAAACUUAAAAAUUGGUCGAGUUGAGUUGAGCUUGAGCUUUGAAUAUUAAAGCCUAAAUCCAACUCAUAUUUUAAACGAGUCUAAUUUACCCAAACCCAAUUUAAGCAUAAUAUUUUUGUCCAAAUCCUCUUAAAUUUUGAAUGAGCUUUUGGACUUGAACGAUUUACUCUUGAACAAAUCUGAUAUUUUUUAAAUAUUUUAUACAACAUUAUUCGAGUCAUAUUUUGAAUAAAAUCUUUUGUAAUAGAAUGGCUUGCUACUAUGGAUGGUGGAACCAGGGUUUGCUGAAUUUACUACCUCCACACCAUAUCCAUAGAAACUAAUAGCAUUCCAUUAUCCACUGCUUAUAAAGUAAUACCAAUAUAAUAAAAUUUAUGCUAAAAUCAAUUUAAUGUUUUUUUAAAUAGGAUUUGUAGUCGAAUUGGAUAGGUUAUUAGUUUGUUGGUCCAAUGAUUAAAAAUUAUUAAAAUUUAAAAAAGUUAAAAUAGAGUUUCGAUUCAUUUAAUUUUUCAUAGGUUGAAUCGGUUCAUAUCAAUUUUCAAUCUAAUCAAUUCAAAAUCACUCUUCGAACCAAUACUCUGUUGGCUUUUGAUCUAAUCGAUCGAUCAAUCCGAUUCAAACAAGACUGAAUCAAUAGAUAAAAGAUGAGAAUAAUUCUUAACAACAACCUGCAAAUUAUGUGAUUAAUUAUAUCUCAAAUUGAUCCAACAUAAAACAGAUAAAAAGAAAAGGUUUCAACAACUCUUCCAAAACAUAUUAUGUUUUAAUGAUCCCACACCAUGUUAAUGAGUUGUGUACUGCACCUUCCUCGAUGGGCAAGCAUAUUUCCCACAUGGGAUUCCCACAAGGAAUCACAGCUUCUUUACUGCAACAACAUGGAAAAAAAAAACUUGAUGGAAAUAAUUUAAGAUCAAAAUUAAACACCAAUAUAUACACACAUAGAAAAUAAAGAGAAACUUAGAGCUAACAUAUAUAUACACACAGACAUACACAUACAUACAUUCGGUAUUUCCAGCGUUUUGUCCAGUUCUUCUUCUCUUCUACUUCUUGCAUGUAAAAGUAAAAUUCCCAUGCCGAUCACCGGUCCCUGUACAACAAAACUUUAAAAGCAAUGAACUAUAUACAUAUACGUUAGUUUUUUGAUUGGAAAUGAGACCCUUUCAUUUCUCUUUUCACACACUCGCAUUGAACAACAAUGGAGGGGAAAUAGAGUAAGAAUUAGCUCAUUGAUCCUUGUUUUAGCUUAUUUUAAGAUGGAUGAUUGAAAUUUGAUUAUGAUAAGAAUAUAAAAACAAAUUUGAGGUUUUCUUUUAUGUUUUUUUUUAUUGCUUUUUAAGUAUUGUUUUCAACAGCCCAUAUAUAAGUUGAAAGUGAUCAACUUUAAAGGGUCCCAAAACCUGAUCAAUACCCCAGACUUUAUAAUUGUAGAUGUCCAUCCAUCAUUCGGAGUGCUUAAGAGGCUUAAACUUUUGAAUUUCAAAGACUGCAGAAGUCUUAGGAGUCUUCCAACCAGAAUUGAAGUGAAAUCCCUUGAAACAUUGAUUCUUUGGUGUUGCUCAAAACUUCAAAGGCUUCCAGAUAUCGAUGGGAAAAUGAAAUGUUUAAAAACUCUUAAUCUUUCUGGUUAUUAUAGAGUUGAAAAUUUACCAGAGAAUUUGCAGCAAGCGAAGUUUUUAGAAGAGCUCGAUUUAAGUGAAACAGCCAUAACAGAGCCACCAUACUUCACUUUUCAAUCUAAAAAUCUUAAAUUUAGUGGGUUUGGCCUGCCCUACAGGCAUUGACUGCCUUAGAGCCACUGACUGCUACAGAUUGGCUGAGAACAUCAAUCCAUUAACAUUGCUAAUUAUUAAAUACGUAAAAUACAAACCGUCCAACAUUUUUAAUUAUUACUUAUAAUUAAAGUAGACUCCACUUUGCCAACUCUCACCUUCUUGGAAACAACAUCCAUCGCUCAUCUUUGACCCCUAUGCUCAUAUACUUACUUUUUCUAGUUUCUUUGUGGAUAUUGGGCGAUCUAUUAUCUGAUUUUGAACACCAGAUUGAGAUAUUCUUCUCCUUUCAUACAUCCUCAUGUUGUCCUUACCAUCAACUUCUUCCUCCAUUUCUAAAAAGAAAUAUGAUGUUUUCUUGAGUUUUAGAGGUGAAGUUACUCGCAAAAACUUCACCGAUCAUCUCUAUGCUGCUCUAAAGAGGAGUGGGAUCGUCACUUUCAGGGAUGAUCCAAAGCUGGAGGCCGGCGAAGAGAUCGCGCCAGAACUCUUUAAAGCAAUUCAGCAAUCAAGGUGCUCGGUAAUCGUUUUUUCACAAACUUAUGCCUUUUCAAGUUGGUGCUUGGAGGAGCUUGCUGAGAUUGUUAAACAACAUAACAACGACGGCCAUAAAGUGUUUCCAAUUUUUUACGAUGUUGAUCCAUCUGAUUUAAGAAAACAAAAAGGGAAAGUGGAAGAAGCCUUUGCCAGACAUGAAGAGAGAUACAAAGAAGAAAGUGAGAAGAUCCAAAGGUGGCAAAAUGCUUUAAUUCAAGUGGCUGCAAUCGAGGGAUGGCAUUUAAAUAACAGGUAAUUCUUUCUUUUCUUCUCUAUUUUCUAGUUUUUUGGAUAUAUAUAUGUAUGUAUGUAUAACUUUUUUUUUUUCUAAUCCUAUGUGUUUAAUUGAAAAGUGUCAUAUUUCAAUAAAAGAGCAAAUUUUGUCUUCUGGCUCCGCAACAGAUCUUGCUUUCUUAUUCUUGGUUCUUGUUUGCUUCCAAACUAUAUUAUGUUUCAUGAUUCAUUGAAAAAGAAAGUGCAUUCGAAACAUAUCAACAAAAUUUUACUCAAAACAUUAAAAUUUCAUUUUUUUUAGGCAUGAAUCAGAAUUUAUUAGAGACAUUGUUAUGAAGAUAUCAGCAAAACUAUGUCAGACAUAUCCAGUUACUCAUAGCGACUUGGUUGGUAUUAUUGAACGCUUGGAGGAUUUGUAUUUAAAAAUAAACAUUGGGGAAGAUGAUGUCCGCGUUAUAGGAAUUAGCGGAAUGGGUGGCAUCGGUAAAACGACACUCGCAAGAGUUGCUUACACUCAAAUGUCACCUCAUUUUGAAGGUAAAAGCUUUAUUGCUGAUAUUCGAGAAGUUUCAGACAAAUGCGGACUAGUUUCUUUACAGAAACAACUUCUUUCACAGAUCUUUCAUGGUGAAUGCUUCAACUUCUUUGAUGUUCAUGAAGGGAGUGACAUAAUUAGCCAUGGGUUGUCUCACAAAAAGGUUCUUGUUGUUCUUGAUAAUGUUGAUAACAUACAACACUUAAAAUGCUUGGCUGGAAGGCACGAUUGGUUCGGAUUAGGAAGUAGAAUCGUUGUAACAACAAGAGAAGAACAUCUGCUUCGAUCUUGGCCAGUUGAUGAUAUGUAUGAGCCCACAACAUUGAAUCCCAAAGAUGCGCUUCAACUUUUCAGUCUGAAAGCUUUUCAUAGUGAUACACUGCAGAAAGAUGAUUUCAUUGAGCUUUCUAAACAUGUUGUAAAUUAUGCUGGUGGACUCCCUUUAGCUCUUGAAGUUUUGGGUUCCUUUUUGUGCGGUAGAGAUGCGACUUAAUGGAGAAGUGCGAUUGAAAGACUUAAAAGAGAUUCUAAUAAAGAAAUUCUCGAUAAACUUCGAAUCAGUUUUGAUGGACUGGAAGAAAGGGAGAAGAAUAUAUUUUUAGAUAUAGCAUGCUUCUUCUAUGGGGAGAGGAAAGAUUUUGUAAUCAAAGUAUUAGAUGGUUGUGAGUUUAUUCUUGAUAUCGAAAUUGAUGUUCUCAUUAAAAAUCUCUUGUAAAAGUCGAAAAAUACAACAGAUAUUUGAACAUGCAUGAAUUGUUGCAAGAAAUAGGAAGAAUAAUUGUUAAAGAAAAAUGUGUUGAUGAACUUGAAAAAUGUAGCAGAUUGUGGGAGGAAAGGGACGUCCAUCAUGUCCUAACAAAAAACACAGUAAGUCAUUCAACAAAAGUUACAUACUAUUUCUUUUCAAUCCUACAUUAUUCACCAUUUAUUUUAUUUUCUUAUUGUCUGUUCUAGAUUUUUUUUAGGCUACAAAAAUAAUUGAAAGCAUAAUCAUCGAUAAUAAAAGGUAAGAAGACACACAUAAACUUAUAUAGUACUAUAAAUAAUUAUUAUUUUUAAAUAUGAUAAAAAAAAACUAUACCAAAAAUUUUGACAUUCAAUAUUUCAAUGUUUAAUUAUGAAAUUUAUCUAGCAACAUAUUUACUUUUUAAAAGAGAAAUGUAUGUAUUUUUGAAAUAUUAAUGGUAUAUUUUUUUUGAGAAAAUUAAUGGUAUAUAUUUAAUGUACUAAAAGUGUAUAUCAACAAAUUAGGUUAUAACAUGUCAUCAAUUUUUUUUAAUGAAAAUGGUUUCAUUUUUAAUUAUGUGUCAUUGUUUGGUUCAUUAACUUGUAAAUUAUGCAUUGUUUGCUAACCAAAUAUAAAUGAACAUAUUAAUUCAAUUUUUUAGGAUUAGGUAAUUUAACAUCGGAUGUGAUUGCUAGACAUAAGUAUCUCUUUAAUAUGGGCAUAUUCAAAAAAAAUUUAAAAAUUAUUUUUUUUACGUAUUUAAAAGGUUCUUAAAGGAUCAUAUCUUAGUACCCAUAUACGAAUGUGCAUUAAAUAUAAGUAUUGGAUACGAGUACUUAAAAAACAAUAUCGAUGCAACAUUUCUUUUAGAUAUUGAAUGCUUUUGUAUAUUUUGAAGCUCAUUUUUGUUUUGCUCAUGGAUAUUAGGGAAUCGAAUAAGAUGCUUAAUUUGAGUGUGGAUACCUUCUUGAAGAUGAAAAAACUGAGAUUGCUCAAAGUGCUUUGCCUUUCAAAUUGUGAUGAUCUCAAAUAUCUUUCUAAUGAACUACAACUUUUAGAUUGGACAGGAUACCCUUUAAGAUACUUACCUUCAAGCUUUCAACCGGACAACCUUGUCGCAUUUCUUUUACCAUGUAGUCACAUUCAAAAACUAUGGAAGGGAAAUAGAGUAAGAAUUAACUCAUCUUAUACUUGUGUUUUAGCUUAUUUAAUUAUAAAUUAUUAAACUUUGAUUAAGGUAAAACAAAAAAACAAAAAUGAGCAUUGUUAUGUUUUCUCAUUUGUUUCUAAUUUAUUAUAGUCUUCAACAUCCCGUGUUUAACUUGAAAAUAAUGAACCUCAGAGGGUCUCAAAACCUGAUCAAGACACCAGACUUCACAACAGCAGCAAAUCUUGAAGUUUUGAUUUUGGAAGAUUGUACCAAAUUAGUGGAUGUUCAUCCAUCAAUCGGGGUGCUUAAGAGCCUUAAACUAUUGAAUUUAAGAGAUUGCAAAAGUCUUAGGACUCUUCCAACCAAAAUUGGAAUGGAAUCUCUUGAAACAUUAAUUCUUUCGGGUUGCUCAUGUCUUGUAAGAUUUCCGGAUAUUAUUGAUGGGAAAAUGGAAUGUCUAAAAACUCUAGAUCUUUCCGGUUGUUAUAGAGUGGAAAAUUUAUCGGAGAAUUUGAAACAAUCGAAGUUUUUGGAAGAGCUCGACUUGAGUGAAACAGCCAUAACAGAACCACCAUCCUUCAUUUUUCAAUUUAAAAAUCUUAAAGUUCUGUCUUUCAAUGGGUGCAAGGGUCCAUCAUAUAAGUUAAUACCAAAUUUGCCUUCUCUUUUCAAGGUAAUCCAAGGAAGAAGGACGAAUCCCAUGGCUUGGAUGUUGCCUUUGUUAUCAGGUUUGAGUUCUUUAAGAGAGCUAAAACUAAGGGACUGCAAUCUUUGUGAAGGAGAUAUUCCAUCAUCAGCAUACCUGCAUCUCUUACUCGACUCUCGAAGAUUGCAAAUCUUAUAUUGUCAAAUUGCAACAUGUGCACUUUUGGUGAAGCAGAUACUCAUAGUGAUAUUUCUGGUCUAUCCUCUUUGAGUUAUCUUAAUGUUAGUGGUAACAAUUUCAUCAGCAUACCUGCAUCUCUUACUCGACUCUCAAUGCUUCAUGAACUUGACUUGUCAAAUUGCAACGUGUGCACUCUUGGUGUAGCAGAUAUUCAUAGUGAUCUUUCUGGUCUAUCCUCCUUGAUACAUCUUGAUCUUAGUGGUAACAAGUUCAUCAGCAUUCCUUUGGCUCUUACUCAACUUUCCAGGCUCAGAUUGCUUAAAUUGUCAGGUUGUAUUAGGAGAUAAAGAGGUGUUGGUUAGCUGUUAUGCAUGCUGUUAACAGUUAGUUAGGUAAGGGCAGUUGUAACUGCUGUUGACUCACUGUAUAUAUACACACGUACUUUGCAUGAGAAAAUAAUAAGAAGAAAUGAUAGACGAAGUUUUAUCUAGUAUUCUUGGAUGAUUAGCAUGGUAUCAAGAGCCAGUUGAAUCUUACUGAUUUUCUGGAAAAAAAAGGGGUGCCUCAUGGCCACUGAUGCAGUAGGUGAAACUCCCCGUCACUCGUCCAACACCAGAGAAGCUGAACACUCACAAGGUAAUGGUGCUCAAGGCCCGACUGAAGUGCACUAUUUCUCCAAGCAUGAUACAAUAAAGCUUGCGUCGCACAACUACCUUUUGUGGAAACAUCAGCUCUUGCUGAUUCUUGAAGGGUAUGGACUUGAAGGAUAUGUACUAGGUACCACUUCCUCCCCUCCUCAGUUUAUUGAUGGUCCUGAUGGUCAGCAAAUUGCGAAUCAAGAUUUCAUCGUUCAUCGAAAGCAAGAUAAGUUUCUUGCCUCUUGGCUUUUAUCUACUAUUACGGAUGAUAUUUUGGCUCAUCUUACAACCGCCAAAACUAGUUGUGAUCUGUGGAAUGCGAUUGAAAGGAAAUUUAGUGCUAAAUCAAACAUAAAAAUCUUGAGCAUGCGGCAUGCUUUAUACUCUCUCAAGAAGUCCAAUCUUUCUGUUAAAGAGUAUAUGUCGAAAGUUAAGCAGCUCAGUGAUGAUUUGACUGCGGUUGGGAGCUUUAUAUCUGAACAGGAACAAGUGAGCGUUAUAUUGGCUGGACUUUCUGUUGAAUUUGAUUCCAUUAGAGUUCUAGCUACUGCAACUCCAUUAUCUCUUGAUUUGUUGAGUGAAUUGUUACUUGACUGUGAAGUACGUCAAUUAGAGCUGUUAAAAGACACCUCCUGUCAAGCAAAUUUGGCAACUCAUCAGCAAAAUAGCAAUGAUACGGGUAAACAAUCAGCAGACUCUGCUGGGUAUUCUCAAGACUCCAAGCAGAAUGAUAGAGGACAGGGCCUUGGGUGGUCUCGUGGUCAUUUUCGGGGAAAUGGACGAGGAUGGUCACGUUCGAGGCCGCAAUGCCAGUUGUGUGGAAAGAUAGGCCACAUGGUUCAAACAUGUUACCAUAGAUUUGAUGAGUCGUUCUCUGGGAAUGCAGGAGCUGGUACGGUUCAAGUUAAUUGUCAUCAGUUGCACGCUUCCAGUUGUGUGCCAGCUGCUCCAACAUGUCAAGCGAUGUCUCACUGCUAUCACACAAAUCCUCAGUCUUCCUCUGGUUCUUUUCCACCUCAUCCAUCUUCACAAAAUAGUUCUAUCUGGUACCCCGAUUCUGGAGCGACGAACCAUAUAACACCAGAGGUGUCUAAUCUUGCGGCUCCCUCUUCAUAUACAAGUAAGAGUUGUGUCACCAUGGGUAAUGGUGAUUCGGUGCCUAUUGCUCAUGUUGGUUCAACCGUUCUUUCGACUGGAACCCGACUCCUAAAGCUUCAGAACGUACUGCAUGUUCCUGCAGUGUGCAAAAAUCUAAUGUCUGUGGGUCAGUUUGCUAGAGAUAACAAUGUUUAUUUUGAAUUUCACCCUGUUCUAUGUUUUGUGAAGGAUGUUCAGACAGGGAAGACACUUCUCGAGGGCCGCAUGCAUGAUGGCCUUUACAAAUUUCGGUUCGCAAAGCCUGUGUCAGCUUCAGGUGCUAAAUCUCCAGAGUCAAAUUCAACAGUAUUGAAUACUGCCAACUCUAUUCAGUGUGCACCUUCCUCUUUGUGGCAUGACAGACUAGGUCACCCAUGUACUGAGGUUCUUAAACGAGUUUUAAAAACUUGUAAUAUUCCAGUUAAACAGAAUUGUGUGCAACAUAUGUGUACAGCUUGCCAACUAGGUAAAGCUCACAAACUUCCGUUUACAGCAUCUAAAACAAUGUAUUCCUCUCCUUUUGAACUCAUUGUAUCUGAUGUAUGGGGCCCUGCCUAGUUACCUUCAAAUGAUUUUCGUCAUUACGUUUCGUUUGUGGACAUGCAUAGCAGAUUUACCUGGGUCUAUUUUCUUCAAAACAAAUCAGAAGUCGCUCGGUGUUUUAGAGAUUUCUAUCAGCUGGUUAACGUGCAAUUUGAUAGGUCUAUUAAAAUGCUACAAACUGAUGGUGGUGGUGAGUAUCGAGUACUAGCCCGUGAGUUAUCCUCUCUUGGUGUCCAACACAGGAUUGUGUGCCCCUACACUUCGGAGCAAAAUGGGGUAGCUGAGAGAAAACAUCGACAGCUUAUUGAUAUGGCUUUGUCACUAUUAGCUCAUGCAAGUCUACCGUUGAAGUUUUGGUUUUAUGCUGUUAUGCAUGCUGUUCACCUAACCAAUCGACUACCAACUCCGGUCCUCGGACAGACUAGUCCCUAUGAGGUUCUCCACCAAGUCAAACCAAGCUAUGAGCUCUUAAGGGUCUUUGGGUGUGCGUGCUUCCCAAAUCUCAGGCCUUUUCAGCCUCACAAGCUGAGUUUUCGGUCUCAACAAUGUGUAUUCCUUGGGAAUGUUCCUAAUACCAAGGGCUAUCGGUGUCUCGCAGAAGAUGGCAGCAUGUUUGUGUCUCGACAUGUAAUUUUUGACGAGAAAAAAUUCCCUUUCAAAGAUGGGUUCCAAACUAAGGCCGUCUCACAAAGCUCGCGGACGGUACCUCAUCGGUCUAUUCUCCCAAUAGUUUCAGCUGGUGGUUCGCAUGUUCCUGCUACGACAAGGGCAUCAGCUAGCCCAUCUACCAUAGGCAUCUCUCCUGGGCAGUCUCAACACAAUCCUACAGAGUCUCCGGCUCUUAAUGACACAAAUGGUCCACCUAAUAACUCUGACCUAUCUCCAUUACUACCUACUCGAGUCAAUCAUCACCCCAUGCAGACACGUUCAAAAAAUGGGAUUUUUCGACCUAAAGUGCUGGCUUCAGUCGUAGAUGAAGUUGAACCUACCACCAUUCAUGAGGCGUUUCAAAGUCCAGCUUGGACUACAGCAGCCGAGAAAGAGUACAAUGCCUUGAUUUCCAAUCACACCUGGGAGCUAGUUAGUUUACCUGAAGGUCGACGAGCCGUUGGAUGUAAAUGGCUCUUCCGUAUCAAGAGGCAUGCAGAUGGGUCUGUUGCUAGAUACAAGGGCAGACUCGUGGUCAAAGGGUACCUCCAGGAAGCCGGUGUUGACUUUCAAGACACUUUCAGUCCCGUCGUCAAACCCACCACAAUCAGAGUCGUCCUUGCCCUGGCCGUUUCUCACCAGUGGUCUCUUCGACAAGUUGACAUAAACAAUGCCUUCCUUAAUGGAGACUUGAGCGAGGAGAUUUAUAUGUCACAUCCACCAGGUUUUGAACAGUAUGGCUUACAUGGAGAGCCUCUGGUCUGCAAGCUAAAGAAGGCUCUCUAUGGUCUCAAACAGGCUCCACGAGCCUGGUUUCAAAAACUAAGGGAAUUUUUGGUGACCAUGGGGUUCGACACUUCCAAAGCGGAUAACUCGCUCUUCAUUCGACAUCGUGGGGAUGCUUUGUUGUACGUUUUAGUGUAUGUCGAUGACAUCAUCGUGACAGGCAGUGACUCACAGGAAAUUGAUAAGUUUGUCAAGACACUUGAUGGUCAGUUUGCGUUGAAGGACCUUGGCUAGUUGAGCUAUUUCCUUGGUAUUGAAGUCAAGCACACGUCGAAUGGGAUAGUUUUGUCUCAAACUAAAUACAUUAGAGACUUACUUCAAAAAGUAGCUAUGGACAGAUCCAAUGCUCUCCCAACACCAAUGGUUGCAAAUAAUCGUCUUACUGCUGAGGAAGGAAGCCCCCUUGAAGAUGAACAUCAGUAUCGCAGCAUCGUAGGAGCCUUACAAUAUAUCGUGAUCACAAGGCCUGACAUCGCCUAUUCAGUCAACAAGGUGUGCCAAUUCAUGCACAAACCACUAACCGGUCACUUCAAAGCAGUCAAGAAGAUACUACGGUAUUUACAAGGAACAAUGAAUUACGGAUUACAGUUUACUCGGGCUUCCAAAUUCCUUCUUGAAGGAUAUUCGGAUGCGAGUUGGGGAUCAGACGUUGACGAUCGAAGGUCCACCUCGGGGUAUUGUAUCUUCCUUGGAGGAAAUCCGGUCUCGUGGAGCUUGAAAAAGCAACACGUUGUGUCUCGUUCCACAACAGAGGCGGAAUAUAGGAGUGUUGCACAUGUCACUGCUGAAAUGACGUGGAUACAAUCCCUAUUAACUGAAUUGUGUGUUCCAAGCUUACCAAAGGCACUAAUUUGGUGUGAUAGUUCAGCAGCAAUAGCAGUUGCAGGAAAUCCAGUCAUGCACUCCAAGUUCAAGCAUGUGGAGCUAGACAUUUUCUUUGUUAGAGAAAAGGUGGCAGCUGGAGUUGUUCAAGUUGGUCAUGUCCCAGGGACCCAUCAGCUAGCAGACAUACUAACAAAGCCUUUGUCAGCCUCAGGAUUUAACCGGUUUCGGGAGUUACUUCGAGUGGUUAACACAAACUAAGGGGUUUUAGUUAGUCAGGAAAUGGAUGAGUAUGAGGAAUAUUAGGAGAUAAAGAGGUGUUGGUUAGCUGUUAUGCAUGCUGUUAACAGUUAGUUAGGUAAGGGCAGUUGUAACUGCUGUUGACUCACUGUAUAUAUACACACAUACUUUGCAUGAGAAAAUAAUAAGAAGAAAUGAUAGAUGAAGUUUUAUCCAGUAUUCUUGGAUGAUUAGCAGGUUGCAAGAUGCUUAAAUCGUUGCCUGAGCUAACAACAAGAAUAGGAAAUGUGAUAAUAGACGAUUGUUUUUCACUUGAAGUAGUUGCAAGUCCAUCAAAAAUAUGCAAUUUAGUGGGUGGUGAUGACAUUCGUGCCAUUAACUGCUUCAAAUUGGUUGAGAAAAUCAAUGCAUUAGCACUGCUGAAAGAACAUAUUAAGGUCUAUUAAUCUAUUUUUUCUCCCUUACAAAAUCUCAUACUUGAGAAUUUAUGGUUUUAGUUACCAGACGACUUGUGUUUUAUUUUGCAGGCACUUCCAAAUUCUAGAAAAUGGUUUGAUAAUGGCUUCUUUGAUAUUAUGAUGCCCGGAAGUGAAAUUCCAGAAUGGUUUAGCCAACAAAAAAGUGACUCUUCAAUUAAGAUACCCCUACCUAUCAACCUUCGGAAAGAUAGUCAAUGGAUUGGAGUUGCUUGCUGCUGCAUUUUUGUCAAUAAUGAUGCUUCAAGGAAUAAGAAGUUUAUCAGCUGUGAAGGAUCGAUUUUUCGAGGUAGAAAUUGUCGACCAAUUUAUUGGAGAAACCGGUGGGUAGGUCGAUACUUUCACAAGCCCAUAAUGAAAGAUCACCUUUUUCUUCAUUAUUUUCCGCGUGAUGAAUUAUAUCCAUUUUCCUUGGAGGAUAAAUAUGGUGACUGUGAAACGAAUAAUUUAUGGACAACAGAUUGCUUAGAUCAAAUAGGUGAUGAGCUUAAGUUUUGUUUCCAUACCAAAUUUGGACCAAAUUACGGUUGUGUUAAGGUGAAGAAGUGUGGUGUUAGAAUAGUGUAUGAGAAAGAUUUGGAAGAAAUGAAAGAGUUGCAGUGCCAUACCACUCAAUCUUCUCCAAAUUUUGAACACAUCCACCAACACUCUGCUCACAACCAUGGAUCAGUAGGUAGCACUUCUCACAUGAAACGGAAACGUAAUAUCUAUGAGGAAACGGAGGAAGAAGAGCCGCAACCAAAACGGAUGCAAAUUUUUUUCAAAUUUGUAAUGGGCCAAUCAAGAAAGAAGUAUUAACUGUGGUAAACUACUUAACCAACUUUGUCCUAUUAAUUUUUUUUACACAUCUUGUAUUUCAUUUAAACAAUUAUUCUAGACUUGUUUUGCAUAUGAGAUAUGAUCCUUCCAUUAUAUGCCAAAACAUUUUAAAAAAUUUUAUUCAUAUUCAUAUUCAACAUGUACAUAUCUCAAAUGUUAAUAACAUUGUUUUUUAUACCAUUUAAAAUUUUAGUCACUUAAUUCAUUCCUUUUUACAUUAUCGAAAUGUGUAUAUUUUAAUUGGUUUCACCUUUUUUUUAUUAAAAUUUUAUUUCAACUAUAUAUAUAUAUAUUCACUUACAUCUAUAUUUUAUUUGUAGGUUGAAGAUGAAGCAAAUUAAAACAAAAUUAUGAGGCAAAAAUGGAGACGAAGCAAGUAAUGAUAAAAUUGUCCACCAUAACCUCUUUUCCAUCGGAGCUGUCAAAAUGUGACAAACAAAAUUUAUCAUCGACAACAUGAACUUCAAGAAAGUGCAGCAUAAAUUUGAGGACUCUCAGAGACUCCAACAACAGAAUCACAUCUAAGAUCAGCAAGCUAAAAAUUUUAGCAUUCUAGUAGUUCAUGUCCUAAAUUUCUUGCUAUGUUAGGGGUCACAAGUGAUAGCAUCAUCAAUUUCUCGUAAAUAAAAUCCUUGGGAAUGAAACAAAAAUCUGUUAUUUGAAGGUAAAAAGAAUAUUCCGAAAGCCAAAAAGAAAUUUCUAAAUCAGGUCAUACAUACUCAAUCAGCACAUAGUGCUUAUAAAGUGUAGGACAUUCUCCCAAAUCGAGAACUAAAGAAAAACAUGAUGAUUUCUAAGAAACUAUAUCCAAAUUGUUGGUGUUAGGAACAAAAAAUGAACAAGUUCAGCUUGUGGCUUGAGCAGCAAGGCUCAAUGCUUGUUGAAGAAACAAUAGAACUUGAGGAAAAAUGAAAAGAAAAGAAAAGAAAACAAAGAAAAGUGAAGAGUAUUGGAACAAAAACUGAUAGAAUUCAUUCAAAUUUUAUCAAUGGCAUAAUGUCAAUACAUAAACCAAGCAAUUUGCUUGUCAAAAUCAGUAUAUGGUCACCUAAUUGCUACCUACUACCACUAAUAUAUUGAAACUUGUAAAAACAAGCUUGUACACUUAAACAAAGCUGAGUUAACAGCUCAUUCAUCAACAAAUUACAUCAACCAUCAACCUAACAUAGUUCAAAAUGAACUAAAAUACAUUACAUCAACUUAAGAUUACAAAAUAAACAAAAUAGGAACAGUUAUGCUUGCUCCAACAGCUUCCGCAUGGCUCGAUCUUCAUGGCCUGCUUGUUGUCUGCUUCUUUGCUACAUGCUGACCAACCUUCAACACUCCUCCUUGGUUAGCAUGUUGCAAACUCCUAAUUUCUUCCUUAAGUGCUCAAAUUAACUUUGUUACACUAAGGGCCUUGGUCAAAAUGUCAGCAAGUUGAUCCUCUGAAUUGCAAUGAACCAAUUUCACUUCUGAGCUUGCUCCAUUUCUCUAACAACAUGGAGUUGAAUGCUGAAAUGUUUUGUUCUUCCAUGGAACACUGGAUUCUUUGCAAUUGCAAUAGUAGAUUGAUUGUCACAAAAGAUCUUUGUUGCUUCCCUUUGAUGCACAUUCAAGUCAGCCAUAAUUUUUCUUAGCCAAAUGGCUUGGUUGACAGCACUUGCUGCUGCAACAUAUUCAGCUUCAGCAGUAGAUUGAGCCACUAGUGUUUGCUUCUUUGAACUCCAAGAAAACAUGGCUGAACCAAGAUUGAAAGCAUACCUUGAGGUGCUUUUCAUGUCAUCUAUCGAACUAGCUCAGUCACUAUCAGUGUAGCCAACUAACUUCAGGCUUUUAGCUUUGUUGUACAUCAAGCCAUGGUUCAAUGUACCCUUGACAUACCUGAGCACUCUUUUUACAGCUUGAAAGUGCUUCUCAUUGCUGCAAUGCAAGAACCUUGAAAGCAAACUCACAGCAAACAUAAUGUCAGGCCUAGUGUCUGUCAGAUACAACAAACAACCAACUAAGCUCCUAUAGGUUAUUUCACAAACCUUCUCAAAAUUACCAUGACUAGAAAGCUUCUCUCCAACAGCAACUGGAGUAUUGGUUGCUUUGCUGUUUUGUAUUGAGAACUUAGUCAGAAUCUUGGAGGCAAAUGCUUUCUGAUUUAGGAAUAUCCCAUUGUGCAUCUGUGUCACUUGCAUGCCAAGAAAAUGGGUCAUCCUUCCUAGAUCAGACAUCUCAAAAAUCUGCUGCAUUUUGGUCUUAAAAUCAAUCAGGAUUGCUUGGUCUCCUCCUGUUACCAACAAGUCAUCAACAUACAGGGACACAAUGAUCUGUGUUUGUACCCCUUCUUUCUUGACAUACAAUGUUGGCUCACUCUUGCUUCUCUCAAAUCCCAAACUGAUCAGAUAGCUAUCAAUUUUGCUAUACCAGGCCCUUGGAGCCUAUUUCAAGCUAUACAAGGCUUUCUUCAGUUUGUAGACCAUAUGUUCUUUACCAGCCACUUCAAAGCCCUGAGGUUAGGGGUGAGCAAAACUCGAUUCGACUCGAAAAAAUCGAAAAAAAUUCAAAUUUCGAGUUAAACGAAUCGAGUUAUUCGAGUUAAUUGAGUUAUUCGAAUCAACUCGAAUUUUUUUUUCAAAUUUCGAGUUCGAAUCGAGUUGAGUUUUCGAAUUCGAAUAAUUCGAAUAAUUCGAAUAUCAAACUAUAAUAUUUUACAUUUUUACCCCAAACUCCCAAACCUUUUUACUUUUCCCUCAAAACUUUUACUCCUUCUCACUUUCCCUCAAAACUUUUGCUCCCCUCCCCUCCCAACCCCCCAAUCUACCCAAAAUCCAUUUCACACCAAAAUUUUACUCUCCCAUUUACUUGUUCUCAAAAUUUUACUCCCCAAAACCUUCAAAACCUUUUAUUUUCCCCCAAAAUUUUUACUCCCUCCCACUUUUCCCCUAAAACUUUUAUUCCCUUCCCAUCCCACCUCCCAUCUACCCCAAACCCUCCCCCCUCCAAAUUUUUUUUAAUAUUUUCCCUCCAAAAUUUUACUCCCACUUAUUUACUUUCCCUCAAACUUCUAUUCCCCAAAACUUUUUAUUUUCCCCCAAAACUUUUACUUCUCACCCUUUACUCUCAAAUAAAAAAUCAAAAUUAUCCAAAAAAAAAACUAAAUAUAAAUAGUAAUAAUUUUAUUUAUAUCUAUUAUUUAUAUUAUUAAAUUAAAUUUCACAUUUUAUAUUAUUUAUAUUAUUGAAUUAUUUAGUCAUAUUGAAUAUUUAUAUUAAAAUUGAGUUAUUAAUUAUGCCAUAAAAUAUCCGUGUUAAAAUUUUAUAUUGGUAUCAAUUUCACAUUUUAAAUUUAAAAUAACUUUUAUUAAAAAAAAUCAUAUUUUUACAUUUAAUAUAUUUUCUAAUUCCAAAAUACAUAGUAACAAGAAUCUGAAGAUAAUUGAAACAAGUAAGUAAGCAAAGAAGCUAACCAAUAUAUAAAAAAUUAAUAAAUAAAUUAUGAGGUGAUGAAAGUUAAUCAAAAUUUGAUUAAGGUACACAAAUUUUAUUACGAUGGGUGACAAUGGUUACAAGGACCCAAAAUAAUUUUUUAAAAUUUAACUCGAAUAAAUAUAUUCGAUUCGAUUCGAUUUGAGAAAACUUCAAAUAAAGUUAGGAUGAUAAAAUGAGAUUCAAAAACUCGAUUAACUCAAAAAUUUUUGAUUCGAUUCGAUUCGAUCGAAUGCUCACCCCUACCUGAGGUUGUUCAACAUAGAUCUCUCCUUCAAGAAAUCCAUUGAAGAAGGCUGACUUCACAUUGAGCUGGUGGAUUUUCCACUGCAUUUGUGCUGUUAAGGCAAUCAGAAGCCUGAUGGUGCCAAGCCUGGCCACUAGUGCAAAGGUUUCCAAGUAAUCCAAACUAUACUUCUGGCUAAACCCCUUGACAACCAGCCUUGCUUUCAGCUUAUUCAAGCUCCCAUCAGCAUUAUGCUUGGCUCGAUAGACCCAUUUCACCCCAAUGAUCUUCCUUUUGGCUGGUCUUUCAACUAGUUCCCAAGUCUGAUUCUUCUCAAUCAUGCUGAUUUCAUCAUCCAUUGCUUGCUCCCACCCUUGCUGAGCUUCAACCUCUUCAAAGCAGCUUGGUUCUGCUAUGGCUACUUGAGCUCUUUCAUAAAUUUCAGCCAAAGGUCUAGUGCCCCUGACUGGUUCAUCAUUAAUGUCCAUUUCAAGACCAUUUUGAUCUAGCUCAGUUUGGUCUGUUACAAGGUCUUCAGAAACUACCUAUAGCUCAUUCUUUUCCCAACUCCAGCAUGACUUCUCAUCAAACACCACAUCUCUGCUUACAGACACUUUACUUGUUGAAGGAUCCAAGAUCCUAUAGCCCUUUUUGACUGUGUUAUAUCCCACCAAAAUACCAGGUCGAGCUCUUUUAGCCAGCUUAUCCCUUUUAACAGUAGGCACAUGUGCAUAGCAGAUAUAACCAAAGACCUUUAGGUGAGCCAAUGAUGGCUUGAAUCCAAACCAGGCCUCAAAAGGAGUUUUGUGAUCCAAGGCCUUGGUAGAAAGCCUAUUUUGGAUGUACACAGCAGUGUUAGCUGCCUCAACCCACAAGGUUUUAGGUAAAUUCUUCUCAAAUAGUAGUCAUCUGGCCAUAUCCAUCAAGCUCCUGUUCUUCCUCUCACUUACACCAUUUUGUUGAGGAGUAUAGGUGUUGGUGAGCUAGUGUUUGAUGCUUGCCUCAUCACCAAAAAACUGGAAUUGAGCUGAGGUGUACUCAGUCCCAUUGUCAGACCUUAUAGUCUUGAGCUUGCAGCCUGUUUCAGUUUCAGCACCAAUCUUGAACUUUGAAAACACUGAGCCUACCUCUGAUUUCUGCUUCAAAAAAUAAAUCCAGCAAAAUCUUAAAAAAUCAUCAAUAAACAGAAUGAAGUACCUGCUUCCAUUCAGUGACUUGAUCUUCAUAGGGCCACACACAUCAAUGUGGCCUGAUUUGAAGGAAAUGGGAGCCUAGCUUACUGUCCUAGCUGGCAUAUUUCACAAACCUUCUGUUUUUCAACUGAACCAAUGAAAUUUUUAGCCAAGUCAUCUCUGGAUAGCUGAUCCAUUGAUCUGUAGCUGUUGUGGUUGUAUAGGCAGUGUCUGAGCCAUUUGUCCAAUCAACAACAAAGCUCUUAUCAGCCAUAGUGACUGCCAUGAACUUGGAUCCACUUGGAUCACUGAUUUGGCACUCAUUGCCUUUGAACACUACAGAAUACCCUUUUUGUAGCUGUUGAGCUAUGCUAAGCAGGUUUCUAUCAAUUUCAGGUACCAACAACAUAUUCGAGAUGAGCUUGUUACCUGUAGGAGUGCAUAUCAACACAUCUCCUUUAUCUUCUGCCUUAAUAAAAUGACCAUUACCAAUAUUAACUUUGGUUUUGCAGCCUCUGUCUAAGGACUUAAAAAUGGCAGCAUUUUGUGUCAUGUGGUUUGUGCAGCCACUGUCCAAGAGCCAGCCAUUUGUAAGCUUCUCCUGAGGAGCUGAGCAUGACACAGCAAAAACUUGCUCCUCAUGGUCACUAUCUUCUUUUGCUACUCGAGCCUCAGCCUUUGGCUAUUGGAGUUGGUUCUGCUUUGGCUUGCCCUUGCUUUUGUAGGCCUUUUCAACAUGCCCCAUCUUUUUGCAAUAUUGGCAUUACACAUCUGUUCUAAACCAACAAUUUGCUUCUGGAUGACUAGACCUUUUUCAAUGCCUGCAGGGUUGGUCCCUUCUUUUUGCAGGAUCAGACUUUGGCUUAUCUCUCCAAGUCUUUUUGCCCUUGUAGGCAAAGGUGCUCAAGACAUGUUUGGUUUUUGCUUGAAAGGCACAUUCUAGGCGCUUCUCUAGUCUGCUAGCUCUUCUCUACUCUUGUGCAUAGAGAGCAUUGAUCAGCUCUGUCAGUGAGAUGUUGGUCAAGUCUCUUGAAUCUUCAAGGGAUGAAAUUUUUGCCUCAUACCUCUCUGGUAAGGUUGAAAUCACCUUUUCCACUAUCCUUGCUUCAUUGAACUGCUCACCAAGGAGCCUUAUGCUGUUUACCACAGCCAUAAUCCUGUCUGAGUACUGUUUGACAAUUUCUUCUUCCUUCAUUUUCAAAUUCUCAAAGUCCCUUCUUAGGUUCAACAAAUGUUGUUGCCUUGUCCUCUCUGUCCCUUGAAACUCCUCUUUUAAUUUGUCACAGGCCUGCUUUAGUGUUUCACAGGCCAUGAUCCUUGGAAAAAUCACAUCUGACACUGAGUUUUUAAUGCAAGAAAUGGCCUUGUGCCUUUUGGUCCUUUCAUCAGCAUGCUGCCUGAUCUGAGCCACUGUUGAAUUCGCUCUGAGUGGCUCUGGUUCAACAUCUUAGUUGACCACCUCCCACAGAUCGAAUGCCUGCAGAUAGGUUUUCAUUUUGACCACUCAUAUGUGAUAGCCUUCUCCAUUGAAGACUGGUGGUGCAGUUGGUGAGAAGCUUGAUGAGGCCAUUGUUUUGUAAAAUAGGUCCCUUAAGAUUAAGGCUCUAGAUACCAAUUGUUGGUGUUAGGAACAAAGAAUGAACAAGUUCAGCUUGUGGCUUGAGCAGGAAGGCUCGAUGCUUGCUGAAGAAACAAUAGAACUAGAGAAAAAAAGAAAAGAAAAGAAAGCAAAGAAAAGUGAAGAGUAUUGGAACAAAAACUGAUAGAAUUUAUUCAAAUUUGAUCAAUGGCAUAAUGCCAAUACAUAAACCAAGCAAUUUGCUUGUCAAAAUCAGUAUAUGGUCACCUAAUUGCUACCUACUACCACUAAUACAUUGAAACUUGUAAAAACAAGCUUGUACACUUAAACAAAGCUGAGUUAACAGCUCAUUCAUCAACAAAUUACAUCAAUCAUCAACCUAACAUAGUUUAAAAUGAACUAAAAUACAUUACAUCAACUUAAGAUUACAAAAUAAACAAAAUAAGAAUUGUUGUGCUUGCUCCAGCAGCUUCUGCAUGGCUCUAUAUUCAUGGCCUGCUUGUUGUCUCCUUCUUUGCUACAUGUUGACCAACCUUCAACACAAAUACAUGUGCAAACAUGAUAGUUACAACAGAAAAGACUACAUAAAAUGCCCCAACAACAACCGAAACUCUAAAGGGCGGCAUGAAAGUACAUUAAGUGCUAAUACAACAUGAUAAGUUGAUAACUUACGCAAGCAAGAACCAGACUUCAAUCCAAUAAAACCACACACCAGUAGCAAAGCAAAAUUAUUUUGAAGUCAGCUGAACUAAAACUUUAGAACUUUUAUAGAGAAAUUAAAUUGAUUAUGAUCUGAAUGGGAUUAUAUGUUGAAGGCUAGAAGUUUCAACCUAAAAUGUACUAAACAAUGCAUGGAUAUAAUUUCAAGACAUGAUACGUCAGCCAAUUAAGGUACAAAAGCAAGCAAUCAUACAUUUUUGCAAGUUAUUUGCACUCCAUUUACUUCUUAUAGAAAAAGAGAACGAAAAAUCAUAACAAUGCUCAAAAUAUAGUUGCAAGAUUCAUUCAGUUCAAAGGUGGUUGAAAUAGAGUUUGUAACAAACCUGAUUGCCAAGAAGGUUUCUGACACAUCUCGAGUGUUGGCUGAUACAGAAGCCAAAAAUCCUACAGGCUUGAGGAUCUUGGUUAUGACAGGUGCACUUAAAGAAUUAUCAAUUGGGGACCUAUGACUUGAACUGUCUGCUGCUAAACCAAGAUUUACGAUUUCCAUCUCUGCAUCUGUAAUUGCAUAGCCAACAUGGACAUUUGUAGCUUUUGGAGUCAAAUUAGGUCCAGAAGAGUCUGGGUCCCGUUUAAACCUCUUAACAGAACCAGACUUCCUUCUUUUAGCUCCCGUGUGACUCUGAACUGAUUCCCCACAGUCAACCUUUGGUAACCCAUAUACAGGUCCAUCACCUUCAGAAGCUUUGCCUUCUUGAAACCGAAUUGCAAGCUUAUCUGUAUUGCCCCCUUUAGAAGAGAAUGCACCUUUUAGCUCACUAAGUUUGGUAUCAUAAUCAUUUUUAUUCUUUGUCUCAUCAAUUUUCUUUGAACCGUUUCCAAAAUUGUUAUCCUUAAGCUGUCAUCGUUAUUUGUUUCAUUGAAAAGACCAAGAUGCUGGACGGGAUAAGCUCCAGGAAUUCCUUUGUUAGGAAGAUUACAAAGGCUAUUCCAUGGCCAUGGAAGUAUCCCGGUACAAAUGCAAAAAAUGAAUGUGGUAGAAAAGGAGGAACCACUAGCAUUUAUUGAGACCAAACGGUAGCAAUGAUUUCUAUUUGGUUAAAUUUUGAUGUUAGUUUUGUAUUAUUUAUAAAGUUAAAUUUAGUCCAUAUUCUCCAACUAGAUUAUCUUUAAUUCUUAUAUAUUUCGAAUUUUAAUUUUAAUGAAAACAAUAAUAGUUAAAUGUAUUUGCCACAUCAAAUUUUAAUGAAUUUAAUUUGCACCAUUUAAUCUUAUGUUCAGUUGAGCACUUUGAUCCACUAAAUCUUUCCUCUUUGUAUACCCUCCUCAUGCACAAGCAAAUGGCAACACCAACUAAUAUACACACACUUGCCACUGGAACCAUGAUCCAAACCCAUAGUUGAUUGCCAUUUCCUCCUAUAUCAGUAUCAGAAAACACCCACAAUUUCACACGGUUGAGCUCAGUUUCAUUGCUUGUUGAACCAAAGAAUCCCAUGAAAACCUUCUGCGGAAGAUAAGUAGAGAGAUUAGUAGGUUAAGAAAGCAUAAGUGUCUGGUUGUGCCCAAUGAAAAUUGAUAGGUUUCGGCCGUCAAAACAAAUAUAAACCUUUAAAUCCUGACCUCCGACUGAAAUAUGAACAUCGUAGUUGCUUAAAGAAACUUGCUUGGUCGAUUGGAUUCUGUUUAUGUUUAACCUAAUAUGGUUGUCAUCCAUAUCUUGCUCGUUGCUCUUCCUGGUGUCAAAUUCCACCGCCACCACACUGGCUUGAUUGAGAAGAACCAUUUGUGUUCUCAUUUACCAUCCCCAGCCACUGUCUUUGGCUGUUGUCCAGUAGGCUGGAGUUGUUUAUUAAAAAGGCAACACCUUCGCCACCACUAGAGGUUUGAUUGAGGAUAUUGAGGAUGAACUCGUAUUGAAAGAAGCAAUGGUGGUGUGGUUGCCUUUCCAAAGCCGAAAUGGUUUCUUAUACAGAGCUCGUCCAGAAAAAUGUUCCAUGGAACCUCCAUAACAUCUGGAGUAAGUUGGAUGGCUCCAAGAACUAUGUAAGAAUUCCUACUCAAGAUAAGCUGGCUUUCACCUUCUUUUUUGAAAGUUAAAAAAUUGAACUAAAAAGGCCUUCUAUUAUAUAUCAAAAGAUUUUAAAAUUUUUAUUCAUACUCAUAUUGAUAACAUAGUUUUUUAUACGUUUAAAAUUUUAGUCACUCAUUUUUACAAAAUGUGUACGUUUUGAUUGGUUUUACUUUUUUUUUAAUUUUAUUUUCAUUGUAUAUAUUCACUUACAUCUAUAAUUUAUUGUAGGUUGAAUUAAAUUUAAUCAACUUAAUACCAAAAUGUGGAAAGCAAUGAACAUAUUUUGUGACGAAGCAGGUAAUAAUAAAGUGAAUCCUUUGAUAAGGAUUGAUCAUAAUUUCAGCUGUGAAAUGAUAAAAUUAACAUAUUUUAAUCUCAUUCUUAAUGCGUUUUUGGAUGAGUAUUUAUGCAAAUUGGUGAAUUUGAUGCUCCUAAUCCUUUGAAUUCAUGUUCUUAUAUUUAGGUGAAUAUUAGAGAGCAGAAGAAGCGAAAAAUGAGCGAAAAUCAGAGAAAAAGAGCAAAUUUCAGGAGCCACACGGCUGGACACAUGCCCAUGUGCCGGCCCGUGUUGAUUUCGCACUUUGCUUCCCAAACACGUGGAAAAACAUAAUUUUUAGGCUUUCUAAACAUUUUAAAGUCUAUAAAUACCAAAUAGAAGAAGAGAUAGGGGAGCCACUAGAGAAGCUCGAAGAAAACACUUAAGGCACACCAUUGGAGUUAAUUCCCUAGAUACUUGGGAGGAUGAAACCUAUAACGAAUUCUAUUAUUUAAUAUCUAAUUUACAUGAUAAAUACUUUAUUCUUAUUCUUAAUUAUGCGUACUUAUUUCUUAUUUUAAUAUUUCUGGGAUAUUAAUUCAUGUUUAAUGUGCUUAAUUUAGUGGAGGAAAAGUCCCUGUUUAAGAGUAAAUCUAGCAUAAUUGAGUGGAGUUGCAUGCAAUCCUAUAAAUAGGACGACAUAAAUCUACCUGAUUAGAGUCAAAUCUAAUAAGGGAAUCCAUAGAUUUAGUUACUGCGACAAUAGGGGUUUUAAUUAGAAAGAGAUUUCAAUUAAUCAAUCUAAUUAAAGUCAAUUGUUCUUACUCUCGAAAUAGAUAUUAGCAUAGUUUAGGGAUUUCUACGAAUUAAGACACCAAGUAAAUAAAUCGUUUAAAUCAAAAUAAUAAUAAUAGAGGGAAUCCAGGUGGAUUACGCAUUUUUAUUUGUAAUGUUAUUAUAUAAUUUGUUAUAUAAUUAUGUUAUUAUACUAUUUUAAAUGGGGUUUUUGAAUUUUUUGUUUGAAAAAUAUAAAUUUAGUUGUAAUGUUAAUAAAAACUUUUAAAUAGGUAUAAUGACAAAAAAAUGUUCUUAGCAUUUAUAAGAUUUUAAAUAGGUAUAAUGACAAAAAAAUGUUCUUAGCAUUUAUAAGAUUUUAUUUUGAGUUAAAUUAUAAUUUUUUUAAUGCAAAAUGUUGAUUAAACAAUAGCCUUAUUUAAGUUUAUAACGUGAUAUGAAUAGUAAACUCUUUUCAAGGUUGGUCUCAAUUGGAUCAUCUUUCACAAUAGUCUUAUUUAAGUUUAUUAUGUUUUCUCAUUUGUUUCUAAUUUAUGAUGGGCUUCAACAGCUCUUGUAUAAGUUGAAAAUAAUGAACCUCAAAUGCAGCUGAGAUGGGAUUGCAUGUGGGAUUCUCGAGGGUGGAAUCGAAGGGGAGACUCCUUAUCUUUGAUUCGGAAGCUGCAAACAAAGGGAGUUGAAGGUCAGUGAUAGGAGCCUACAUCUCAAAUAUUAGAACUACCUGUGAAGGGUAUCAAAUCUGUGUAAACAUGGGCCAAAACAAGCAAACGGAGUUACACAUCUAUUGGCUACAGAGGGAUUAAAGAGAGAUGAAGAAACUUAUCUUGUUGGUGCGGUUCCUUCAUACGCGAAAGUAGCAGCGGAAGACGACCGUCAACAGUUGGGCUCACUUUGUCCAGCAGGUCGAAGAUCCACUGCUUAGAAAGAAGAUAAAAUGGGAUUUUACUGUGGGCAAGCAGAUUGAAGAAUAGAUGGACUACUGGGUUUCUUAGUUUCGGCGGAGAAUAAAUCGGAUAUAUUAUUAACUUUAAAUUUAAUUGUUAAAUUGGGCUCGAGCUUGAACACAUAUGAAUUUAAUCAAAUUCAAGUUGAAUGUUAAAUAUGAAAUUUAUUUUUAUUUAUCCAAAAAGCAGAAAUGUUUACAAAUAUCUAUAGUAUACAUUUGUAAUUCCCCAUGCUAUAAAAAGUUCUUAUUGCCUUGAUCUCUCAGAUUCACAUUAACCUCUACCAGCCUCAUUCCCACUAACUCCUUUACUAUUCCCAAGUAAUAUAAAGCGUAAUAAAAAGUAGAUAUCUCAAUUGAGUGGGCUGAAUCUAUAUAGAUGUUAAUUCAAUUUAGAUUUGAGUUAUUUUCUAUUUGAGUUAAAUUUUUAUGUAAUAGUUCAAAUUGAUUCGAAAUUAAGUCAUUUUAGAUAUGAAAUUUAAACUUUUUAGGUUUAAUUAUUAUGGGUUAUGAAAUUUUUAGAUGAUUAUGAAUUAUUUUGGGUUUGACGAAAAUAUUACAUAAAUGUCAUUCCUAGAAUUAGCUUCAUGGUGAAUUGAAGGUCACAAUCUGGAUUUGUUCAUAUUUUAAGGUUAUUGGUAUUCUCCUCACCUAAUAUACUAAACAACCUAUAGUGUAAAGAGUGUAUUUGAUGGUUACCAAAUUAACUAUAAAUAUGAUUAAGGCAAGAACACCUAUCGAGCAAUAGUAUAGUUAUGGUGAGUAGGAAAUAUCAUAUCCAUGAGGACUAAAAGUACUAGUAAUUACUGUUUUUCUAUUAUUUAGCUGACAAAUUGGAGUGAUUGUUUUUAAUCUAAAAUUACUGAACUAAUCCAACUAAGAACGCAACAGAGAAUGAAAUAAGAAAAAUAAUCGAAGAUUACCAAUGAGAUAGACAAUACCCAGGAAAGAAUCCACCUAGACUUCACCUAUUAUUCUAAAUCUGAAUUAAAUGAUUUAUUCACUUGUGUCUUGAUCCGUAGAAAUCCCUAAUUUAUGUUAAUAAAUAUUUUAAGAGUAAGAACAACUGACUCUAGGUUGAUUACUUGAAAUCUCUUUCUAAUUAAAAUCCCUAUUGUCGCAUUAACCCGGUCUAUGGAUUCCCCUAUUAGAUUUGACUCUAAUCCGAUAGAUUUAUGUCGUCCUAUUUCUAGGAUUGCAUGCAACUCCACUCAAUUAUGCUAGAUCUACUCUUAAACAGGGACUUUUGCUCCACUGAAAUAAGCACAUUAAACAUGAAUUAAUAUCCUAAAACUAUUAAAACAUGAAAUAAGCAUACAUAAUUGAGAACAAGAAUAAAAUAUUUAUCGCGUAAAAACAAAAAUUAAAUAAUAACAUUCAUCAUAGGUUUCAUCCUCCCUAGGUAUCUAGGGAGUUUAGUUCAUAAUCCUGAAUAAAAACAUCUCAGAGUUAGGAUAACAACAAGACAUAAAGAAACUCAAUAAAACUUCGAGGGAAAUUAAAUGGAGAUCUUCAAUCUUGAAGAAGAUCCACUUCUGAGUUGAUUCCCAUGGCGUUCUUCGAGUCUUUUCUUCAAUCUUCCCUGAGUGCCCCCUUAAAUCUUCUUCUAAUUGGUAUUUAUAGACUUUAGAAUGCUCAGAAUGCUUAAAAAUUGGGUUUUUCUGCGUAUUUAGAAAGCAGGGUGCGAUAUUGACACAGGCUAGCACAUGGGCAUGUGGCCAGCCCAUAUGGAAAUGCCUAGGCUAUGUGGAUCCUAGAAACAACUCUAUUUGUUUGAUUUUUCGCUCUCAAAUGCUCUCCUAAAUAUAGAAACAUGAAUUUAAAGAAUUAGGAGCAUAAAAUUCACUAAUUUACAUAAUUAAUCAUCCAAAAAAACAUUAAGAAUGAGAUUAAAAUAUGUUACUUUUAUAACUUAUCAGUAUUCGAAAUUAUAUUCUAAUUAAGAUACCCCUACCUAUCAACAUUCAGAAAGAUAAUCAAUGGAUUGGAGUUGCUUCUUGCUGCAUUUUUGACAAUAAUGCUUCAGGACAUUCUAUCGAUUGUGGAGGAUUUAUUUUUCAAGGUAGAAAUUAUCGAUAGCUUGGUUUGAGAUGCUUGUUCUUGGGUAAAGGAAUAAUGAAAGGUCACCUUUUGCUUCAUUAUUGGUCGCGUGAUAAACUAUAUCCAAUUUCCUUGGGAUAAAUAUAGUGACUGUGAAUUCAAUAAUUUAUUGUCAAUAGACUGCUUAGAUCAAAAUUGUGAUGAGCCUGAGAUGUGUUUCAUAGAUGCAUAUGAUUGAAAUUUGCAAGUGAAGAAGUGUGGUGUUAGAAUAGUGUAUUGGUGUGUUGUUAAAAACACUAAAAAUAAUCUAUCCCUAUAAUGAAAAGAAUAGUAUAAGGGAAGUAGGGUGAAAUCCUCAGGGACUGGAUUGCUACAACUUCUUGUUCCUCGAAAUCCUGGGCACAGUCGUGCCCGAGAAAAAGCGGUGUACAUAAUCCUUCUCAUGAUAGAAUAAACCAGUUAGUUAUAGUGGAAAAGGAUGCCUAUGACCACCAGCUCCACUUAGAUUUUAGACUUAUGAUUUAGAGGAACCUGACUCUAGCCAACCGUCACUUUCGUGGGACCAUCUUACACUAGAUCAUUGUUUCUCAAUGACGAAUGCCACCAUUUCGUCUCUUGGGCUCAACAACCUCUGACGCAGUAAGUUAACAAACCGGCUGUACAACUCUCCUAAAAUAUACAAAGCUGCUGCCUUUGCACAAGAUAAAAAGGUCACUUUUGGAAGGUCAUGGACGGAAGCGUUAAUCCCGUAAUACAGAGAAAUGAUGAAUACUCGUUGAGAAUGCUAAGUGCGAGUUCUAAGCCUCAUGAACCCUUUUUUGGAGAAUCUCAACAAUCUUUGGCCAGAUGAAUUUAAUGGCUCAUGCUUUUCGGGAAAAAGAAAUAAGUUUAAUGGAAUGGAAUUUAAUUGGGAAAUAAAACUAAAGGAACAAAAAGGCUAGAGAGCCUUAGAGGGAAAUGAGUGUUUUACAAGAAUUGAUGAUUGAAUAAUUAUGUCACUCCAUCCCCUAUUUAUAGUACAUAGAAAACCUAGUUUGUUCCUAUUUAAACUCUAAAAGAUAAAUAAAGAUAAAAGUUGAAAUUAGAUCUAAAUAAUAAUCCUAAUAAAAUUCAAAUUUAAAUAGAGUCUUAUGUUUAUAAAUCUCUUUUUUGAAUUUUUGCCCCCAAAUCUUUCACAGUUUGUAUUUUCGACACCACUUCUUUCCUAUUUUGCAUGCUAACCCAUUUUGUCUUUAAAUUCAGGCUUUUUGUCCCUAAAUUUCCUUUUGUCUUUAAUUUAGUCCCUACAAGAUGAAAAACCUUUCCUUUUAUCUUCAAUUUAGUCCCUACAAGACGAAAAAUCAUAAACAGCCCAAAUUAGUAGGAUCAUGCUUAAAAUAUAUAUGUAAUUAAUACAUUAAAAUAUGCCACUCAAUCUUCUCCAAUUUUUGAACCAACGAUUGACCAGUAGGUAGCAAUUCUCACAUAAAACGAAAACAUAACGUCUAUAAGGAAGCGGAAGAAGAAGGGCUCCAACCAAAAUGAAUGCAAAAAAAAAUUAAUUUUAUAAUGGGCCAACUUUGUCCUAUUAGUUUUUUUUACACAUCUAUGUAAACUUAUUUGCUUAUGAGAUAUAAUCACUUAUUUGCUUAUGAGAUAUAAUCAUUCUUAUAUAUAAAAAAAUUUUAAAUUUUUUUAUUUAUACUCAUAUUAAACAUGAGCUCAUAUUCUAUGCAUAUCCCAAAUGUUGAUAACAUAGUAUUUUUUUAGACCAUUUAAAAUUCUUCUUUAUUUUUAUGAUUUUUCUAUUUUUAAAAAAUUUAUGUAUUUUAAUAUUAUAUAAUUUUUUAAAUUAUGAUUGACUUUUUUUGGGUAAACUACAAAUAUAGUCACUUUUGUUUCACUCAGAUUAUAUUUUAGUCACUUAUGUUUGAAAUGUUAUGUUUUAGUCACUUGCGUAUCGUUUUGUUACGAAGUGGUCACUCUACCAUUAAGUUCCGUUACCUCCCUAACGGCAAUCCUACGUGGCAGUCCAAAUGGGUUUUAAAUCCUAACUUGGAUGUCUAAUUGGUACGACAAUAGAUUUUUAUUUAAAUAAAUUUAAUUAAUUGAAAAUUUUAAAUUAAUUACAUGUUGAACUGGAAAAGAAAAAUCAUUCAUCUCUUUUUUCUUUUUAGUUUUCUUUUUCAUUUUAACUGAAAAAAUUAUUCUCAUCCUAGUUGAAAAUCCAAGUUGUCAUUUAAAACUCAUUUGGACUGCCACGUAGGAUUGUCAUUAGGGAGAUAACGGAACUUAAUGGAAGAGUGACUACUUCGUAACAAAACGAUAACGUAAGUGACUAAAACGUAGCAUUUCAAACAUAAGUGACUAAAAUGUAAUUUGCGGCAAACAAAAGUGACUAUUUUUAUAGUUUACUUUUUUUGAAUUUUAGAGUUUAGGUUAAUUUUGUGAACUCUUUCUUGGAAUCUUCAUGGAGAGAACAUCUAUCAUCUCCCAAUUUCCACACCUACGCGCUUGAGGGAAAUGAGGUUGUUGUUUUGGGAGGUUGAAAGGUGAGGGGGAGCUGUUUGGGAUGGUGGUCGGUAAUGGAAGAUGAGAGUGAUGAAGCCCGGGUGUAUUGGUGAUGUUGGUGGUGAAGAUGGGAGCCUCGAGUGAUAGACAGAGAAUGGUGAAAAGGCCCCUGGGUUAGCUUAGAGAUGAAAUUUUCUGCUACUGUUGCCUCCAAACACAGAAUUGCUAACCUACCCCGCUUGAAUUUUGUAGAUUGAUUUUAUAACAGAAACCAGUGGAGCAUGUUGUGUGUGGUGGUUGCAGUGUAACCUGUCCCAAGCUACUAGAAACACAUUAGGAUCUGUUUGUAAAGUUAAUAAAAAUUUUGGGACUUUUAUUCAAAAUUUGAUCUAUUUCUCUCCUUCAUGCUCAUAUACUAUACUAUAUUGAAAAUAUAUUAAAGAGAUUUGACAAGGAUUGUACAUUAGGUGAUGCUUAUAUCAUUAAAAGGGACAAGAAACUAAUAGCAUUCCGUUAUCCACUGCUUAUAAAGAAAUACUAAUAUAAUAAAAUUUAUGCUAAAAUCAAUUUAAUGUUUUUUAAUCGGAUUUGUAGUCGAAUUGAAUAGGUUAUUAGUUUGUUGGUCCAAUGAUUAAAAAUUAUUAAAAUUUAAAAAAGUUAAAGUAGAGUUUGUUGGUCGAAUUGAAUCGGUUCGUAUCAAUUUUCAAUCUAAUCAAUUCAAAAUCACUCUAUGAACCAAUACUCUGUCGGCUCCUGAUCUAAUCGAUCGAUCAAUCCGAUUCAAAAAAGACUGAAUCAAUAGAUAAAAGAUGAGAAUAAUUCUUAAACACAACCUGCAAAUUAUGAGAUUAAUUAUAUCUCAAAUUGAUCCAACAUAAAACAGAUAAAAAGAAAAGGUUUCAACAACUCUUCCAAUACAUAUUAUGCUUUAAUGAUCCCACACCAUGUUAAUGAGUUGCGUACUGCACCUUCCUCGAUGGGCAAGCAUAUUUCCCACAUGGGAUUCUCACAAGGAAUCACAGCUUCUUUACUGCAACAACAUGGAAAAAAAAAACUUGAUGGAAAUAAUUUAAGAUCAAAAUUAAACACCAAUAUAUACACACAUAGAAAAUAAAGAGAAACUUAGAGCUAACAUAUAUAUACACACAGACAUACACAUACAUACAUUCGGUAUUUCCAGCGUUUUGUCCAGUUCUUCUUCUCUUCUACUUCUUGCAUGUAAAAGUAAUAUUCCCAUGCCGAUCACCGGUCCCUGUACAACAAAACUUUAAAAGCAAUGAACUAUAUACAUAUACGUUAGUUUUUUGAUUGGAAAUGAGACCCUUUCAUUUCUCUUUUCACACACUCGCAUUGAACAACAAUGGAGGGGAAAUAGAGUAAGAAUUAGUUCAUUGAUCCUUGUUUUAGCUUAUUUCAAGAUGGAUGAUUGAAAUUUGAUUAUGAUAAGAAUAUAAAAACAAACUUGAGGUUUUUUUUUUUAUGUUUUUUUAUUGCUUUCGAAGUAUUGUUCUCAACAGCCCAUAUAUAAGUUGAAAGUGAUCAACUUUAAAGGGUCCCAAAACCUGAUCAAUACCCCAGACUUUAAAAUUGUAGAUGUCCAUCCAUCAUUCGGAAUGCUUAAGAGGCUUAAACUUUUGAAUUUCAAAGACUGCAGAAGUCUUAGUAGUCUUCCAACCAGAAUUGAAGUGAAAUCCCUUGAAACAUUGGUUCUUUCGUGUUGCUCAAAUCUUCAAAGGUUUCCAGUUAUCGACGGGAAAAUGAAAUGUUUAAAAACUCUUAAUCUUUCUGGUUAUUAUAGAGUUUAAAAUUUACCAGAGAAUUUGCAGCAAGCGAAGUUUUUAGAAGAGCUCGAUUUAAGUGAAACAGCCAUAGCAGAGCCACCAUACUUCACUUUUCAAUCUAAAAAUCUUAAAUUCAGUGGGUUUGGCCCGAGAACAUCAAUCCAUUAACAUUGCUAAUUAUGAAAUACGUAAAAUACAAAUCGUCCAACAUUUUUAAUUAUUACUUAUAAUUAAAGUAGACUCCACUUUGCCAACUCUCACCUUCUUGGAAACAACAUCCAUCGCUCAUCUUUGACCCCUAUGCUCAUAUACUUACUUUUCUAUUUUCUGAUUUUGAACACCAGAUUGAUAUAUUCUUCUCCUUUCAUCCAUCCUCAUGUAUAUAGACAAUUAUAUGAUUAUGUAACUGAAAGCAAUACACAAACCGUCCAACACUUUACUCAUUACUUAGAAUUAUUGCAGGCUCCAUUUUGUCAACACCCACCUUCUUAGAUUCUUCCUGGAAAGAGCAUGCAUCACCCAAUGUCCACACCUACUCGUAUUCAUUUCGAAAAUUCAAAGGUUAUAGAGAAAUUGCUUAGAAACGUCCCUUAUUCUUCCCUGGAAUUUUCAUCUGUUUUUCUCAAUCUUCACUCUCAUAUACUUAUUGUUUCUAGUUUCUUUCUGGCGUAUUGAGCGAUCAAUUUUCUGAUUUUUAACACUACAUCCACAUAUAUAUUUUUCUUCUCAAACAUCGUCAUGUUGUCAUUACCUUCAACUUCCUCAUACAUUUCCAGAAAGAAAUAUGAUGUUUUCUUGAGUUUUAGAGGUGAAGAUACUCGCAAAAACUUCACCGAUCAUCUCUAUGCUGCUCUAAAGAGGAGUGGGAUCGUCACUUUCAGGGAUGAUCCAAAGCUGGAGGCCGGCGAAGAGAUCGCGCCAGAACUCUUUAAAGCAAUUCAGCAAUCAAGGUGCUCGGUAAUCGUUUUUUCACAAACUUAUGCCUUUUCAAGUUGGUGCUUGGAGGAGCUUGCUGAGAUUCUUCAACAACAUAACAACGACGGCCAUAAAGUGUUUCCAAUUUUUUACGAUGUUGAUCCAUCUGAUUUAAGAAAACAAAAAGGGAAAGUGGAAGAAGCCUUUGACAGACAUGAAGAGAGAUACAAAGAAGAAAGUGAGAAGAUCCAAAGGUGGCGAAAUGCUUUAAUUCAAGUGGCUGCAAUCAAGGGANNNNNNNNNNNNNNNNNNNNNNNNNNNNNNNNNNNNNNNNNNNNNNNNNNNNNNNNNNNNNNNNNNNNNNNNNNNNNNNNNNNNNNNNNNNNNNNNNNNNACUUUUUUUUUUUUUUCUAAUCCUAUGUGUUAAUUCAAAAGUGUCAUAUUUCAAUAAAAGAGCAAACUUUGUAUUCUGGCUACGCAACAGAUCUUGCUUUCUUAUUCUUGGUUCUUGUUUGCUUCCAAACUAUAUUAUGUUUGAUGAUUCAUUGAAAAAGAAAGUGCAUUCGAAACAUAUCAACAAAAUUUUACUCAAAACAUUAAAAUUUAUUUUUUUUAGGCAUGAAUCAGAAUUUAUUAGAGACAUUGUUAAGAAGAUAUCAGCAAAACUAUGUCAGACAUAUCCAGUUACUCAUAGCGACUUGGUUGGUAUUAGUGAACGCUUGGAGGAUUUUUAUUUGAAAAUAAACAUUGGGGAAGAUGAUGUCCGCUUUAUCGGAAUUUGCGGAAUGGGUGGCAUCGGUAAAACGACACUCGCAAGAGUUGCUUACACUCAAAUGUCACCUCAUUUUGAAGGUAAAAGCUUUAUUGCUGAUAUUCGAGAAGUUUCAGACAAAUGCGGACUAGUUUCUUUACAGAAACAACUUCUUUCACAGAUCUUUCAUGGUGAAUGCUUCAACUUUUUCGAUGUUCAUGAAGGGAGUGACAUAAUUAGCCAUAGGUUGUCUCACAAAAAGGUUCUUGUUGUUCUUGAUAAUGUUGAUAACAUACAACACUUAAAAUGCUUGGUUGGAAGGCACGAUUGGUUCGGAUUAGGAAGUAGAAUCGUUGUAACAACAAGAGAAGAACAUUUGCUUCGAUCUUGGCCAGUUGAUGAUAUGUAUGAGCCCACAACAUUGAAUCCCAAAGAUGCGCUUCAACUUUUCAGUCUGAAAGCUUUUCAUAGUGAUACAGUGCAGAAAGAUGAUUUCAUUGAGCUUUCUAAACAUGUUGUAAAUUAUGCUGGUGGGCUCCCUUUAGCUCUUGAAGUUUUGGGUUCCUUUCUGUGCGGUAGAGAUGCGACUCAAUGGAGAAGUGCGAUUGAAAGACUUAAAAGAGAUUCUAAUAAAGAAAUUCUGGAUAAACUUCGAAUCAGUUUUGAUGGAUUGGAAGAAAGGGAGAAGAAUAUAUUUUUAGAUAUAGCAUGCUUCUUCAAUGGGGAGAAGAAAGAUUUUGUAAUCAAAGUAUUGGAUGGUUGUGAGUUUUUUCCUGAUAUUGGAAUUGAUGUUCUUGUUAAAAAAUCUCUCGUAAAAGUCAAUAAACACAACAAAAAUUUGAAGAUGCAUGACUUGUUGCAAGAAAUGGGAAGAACAAUUGUUAAAGAAAAAUGUGUUGAUGAACCUGGAAAACGUUGUAGAUUGUGGGAGGAAAGGGACGUCCAUCAUGUCCUAACAAAAAACACUGUAAGUCAUUUAACAAAAGUUACAUACUAUUUCUUUUCUAUCCUACAUUAUUCACCAUUUAUUUUAUUUUCUUAUUGUCUGUUCUUGAUUUGUUAGGCUACAGAAAUGAUUGAAGGCAUAAUCAUCGAUAAUAAAAUGUAAGAAGACACACAUAAACUUAUAUCUAUGUGUACUGUAAAUAAUUAUUAUUUUUAAAUAUGAUAAAAAAACCUACAGCAAAACUUUUGACAUUCAAUAUUUCAAUGUUUAAUUAUGAAAUUUAUCUAGCAACAUAUUUACUUUUUCAAAAGAGAAAUGUAUGUAUCUUUUUUGAAAAUUAAUGGUAUAUAUUUAAUGUACUAAAAGUGUAUAUCAACGAAUUAGAUUAUAACACGUCAUCAAAAUUUUUUAAUGAAAAUGGUUUCAUUUUUUAAUUAUGUGUCAUUGUUUGAUUCAUUAACUUGUAAAUUAUGCAUUGUUUGUGGACCAAAUAUAAAUCAACAUAUUAAUUCAAUUUUUUAGGAUUAGGUAAUUUAACAUCGGAUGUGAUUGUUAGAUAUAAGUAUCACUUUAAUAUGAGUAUAUUUAAAAAAACUAAAAAUUAUUUUUUUCACGUAUUUAAAAGGUUCUUAAAGGAUCAUAUCUUAAUACUCAUAUACGAAUGUGCAUUAGAUAUAAGUAUUGGAUACGAGUACUUAAAAAACCAACAUCAAUGAAACAUUUCUUUUAAAUAUUGAAUGUUUUCGUAUAUUUUGAAGCUCAUUUUUGUUUUGCUCAUGGAUAUUAGGGAAUCGAACAAGAUGCUCAAUUUGAGUGUGGAUACCUUCUUGAAGAUGAAAAAAUUGAGAUUGCUCAAAGUGCUUUGCCUUUCGAAUUGUAAUGAUCUCAAAUAUCUUUCAAAUGAACUACGACUUUUGGAUUGGACAGGAUACCUUUUAAGAUACUUGCCUUCAAGCUUUCAACCGGACAACCUUGUCGCACUUCUUUUGCCAUAUAGUCACAUUCAACAACUAUGGAAGGGAAAUAGAGUAAGAAUUAACUCAUCUUAUCCUUGUGUUUUAACUUAUUUUAAUAUAAAUUAUUAAACUUUGAUUAAGGUAAAACAAAAAAACAAAAAUGAGCAUUAUUACGUUUUCUCAUUUGUUUCUAAUUUAUUAUGGUCUUCAACAGCCCUUGUUUAACUUGAAAAUAAUGAACCUCAGAGGGUCUCAAAACCUGAUCAAGACACCAGACUUCACAACAGCAUCAAAUCUUGAAGUUUUGAUUUUGGAAGGUUGUACCAAAUUAGUGGAUGUUCAUCCAUCAAUCGGGGUGCUUAAGAGCCUUAAACUUUUGAAUUUAAGAGAUUGCAAAAGUCUUAGGACUCUUCCAACAAAAAUUGGAAUGGAAUCUCUUGAAACAUUCAUUCUUUCGGGUUGCUCAAGUCUUGUAAGGUUUCCGGAGAUUGAUGGGAAAAUGGAACGUCUAAAAACUCUAGAUCUUUUCGGUUGUUAUAGAGUGGAAAACUUAUCGGAGAAUUUGCAGCAAGCAAAGUUUUUGGAAGAGCUCGACUUAAGUGAAACAGCCAUAACAGAACCACCAUCCUUCAUUUUUCAAUUUAAAAAUCUUAAAGUUCUGUCUUUCAAUGGGCGCAAGGGACCAUCAUAUAAGUUGCUACCAAAUUUGCCUUCUCUUUUCAAGGUAAUCCAAGGAAGAAGGACGAAUCCCAUGGCUCGGAUGUUGCCUUUGUUGUCAAGUUUGAGUUCUUUAAGAGAGCUAAAACUAAGGGACUGCAAUCUCCGUGAAGGAGAUAUUCCACGUGAUAUUUCUGGUCUAUCCUGUUUGGAAAAACUUGAUCUUAGUGGUAACAAUUUCAUCNNNNNNNNNNNNNNNNNNNNNNNNNNNNNNNNNNNNNNNNNNNNNNNNNNNNNNNNNNNNNNNNNNNNNNNNNNNNNNNNNNNNNNNNNNNNNNNNNNNNNNNNNNNNNNNNNNNNNNNNNNNNNNNNNNNNNNNAGUGGUAACAAUUUCAUCAGCAUACCUGCAUCUCUUACUGGACUCUCAAAGCUUCAUGUUCUUGACUUGUCAAAUUGCAACGUGUGCACUCUUGGUGAAGCAGAUAUUCAUAGUGAUCUUUCUGGUCUAUCCUCUUUAAUAAGUCUUGAUCUUAGUGGUAAUAAUUUCAUUACCAUUCCUUUGGCUCUUACUCAACUUUCCAGGCUCAGAUUGCUUACAAUGUCAGGUUGCAAGAUGCUUAAAUCGUUGCCUGAGCUACCAACAACUAUAGCAGUUGUGACUAUAGAUGGUUGUUCUUCACUUGAAGUAGUUGCAAGUCCAUCAAAAGUAUGCAAUUUAGCGGGUUGUGGUGACAUUCGUGCCAUUAACUGCUUCAAAUUGGCUGAGAAAAUCAAUGCAUUAACACUGCUGAAAGAACAUAUUAAGGUCGAUUAAUCUAAUUUUUCUACCUUAGAAAAUCUCAUACUUGAGAAUUUAUGGUUUUAGUUACCAAACGACUUGUGUUUUAUUUUGCAGGGGGUUCGAUAUCCAAGAGAUUGGUUUGAUAGUUGCAUCUUUGAUAUUAUGAUGCCCGGAAGUGAAAUCCCAGAAUGGUUUAGCCAACAAAAAAGUGACAAAUCAAUUAAGAUACCCGUUCCGAAAGAUAGUCAAUGGAUUGGAGUUGCUUGUUGCUGCAUUUUUGUCAAUAAUGAUGCUUCAAGGCAUAUCGAGGCUAUCGGAUGUAAUGCAUCUAUUUUUCGAGGUAGAAAUUGUCGACCAAUUGAUCGGAGAAACCGGUGGGUAGGUCGAUACCUUGACAAGCCCAUAAUGAAAGAUCACCUUUUUCUUCGUUAUUUUCCGCGUGAUGAAUUAUAUCUUUCCUUGGCGGAUAAAUAUGGUGACUGUGAAACCAAUAAUUUAUGGACAACAGAUUGCUUAGAUCAAAUAGGCGAUGAGCUUAAGUUGUCUUUCAAUGCCGAAUUUGGACCAAAUUGCCGUUGUGUUAAGGUGAAGAAGUGUGGUGUUAGAAUAGUGUAUGAGAAAGAUUUGGAAGAGAUAAAAGAGUUGCAGUGCCAUACCACUCAAUCUUCUCCAAAUUUUGAACACAUCCACCGACACUCUGCUCAAAACCAUGGAUCAGUAGGUAGCACUUCUCACAUGAAACGAAAACGUAAUAUCUAUGAGGAAACGGAGGAAGAAGAGCCGCAACCAAAACGGAUGCAAAAUAUUUUCAAUUUUGUAAAGGGGCAAUCAAGAAAGAAGCAUUAACUGUGGUAAACUACUUAACCAACUUCGUCCUAUUAAUUUUCUUUUACACAUCUUAUAUUUCAUUUAAACAAUUAUUCUAGACUUGUUUUGCAUAUGAGAUAUGAUCCUUCCAUUAUAUGCCAAAACAUUUUAAAAAAUUUUAUUCAUAUUCAUAUUCAUAUUCAACAUAUACAUAUCUCAAAUGUUGAUAACAUUAUUUUUUAUACCAUUUAAAGUUUUAGUCACUUAUCGAAUGUGUAUAUUUUGAUUGGUUUCACCUUUUUUUUAUUAAAAUUUUAUUUCCACUAUAUAUAUUCACUUACAUCUAUAUUUUAUUUAUAGGUUGAAGAUGAAGCAAAUUAAAACAAAAUUGUGAGACAAAAAUGGAGACGAAGCAAGUAAUGAUAAAUGAGAGUCCUUUAAUAAGGAUCGAUCAUAAUUUCAACUGAGUUAAAAAUCAUUUUAUUUUUAUUGGAGACCAACUUAUAUGUUCAAUUUAAUCAGUCAAAACUGUUUUUAUAUAUUUAAAAGAUUAAAUAUAAAUCCUUAAAGGUACUUAAAUAGAUUUAAUCCAUUCUAAUAAAGUAUCAUUUAUAUUUCACGACUUGAAAUACAAAUAAUAUUAUUCCAACUCCUCAGUUUAUAUUUUUUUAUAAAAUAUUUAUGUUUAGACAUUUAUUUUUAAUAUUUAUUCAAAUAUGAAUAUAAAGUAUGCACUAAUAUUCAAUUAGAAAAUCUUUUGUACGUGAGUGUUAAACAGUUGUUACGAUGGUUAGUUUGAUAGGUUGUUACAAAAUCUGUUAAGCAGUUCAUUAGACAGUUGGUUAUCAUAUUUGUAUAAAACCUCAUCAGUGUAUUCAUUCAACAAGAUAGCAUAAGACUAAAGAAUUCUUUUAUACUUCACUUUUCUGUUUAUACAUAUUUCGAGUAGUAUCUUAUAUGGUAUCAGUCACCUAGUCCUGGUACGUGCUUCCGUUGUUGUGUUAUGGCACCAUCAGCCGAUUGUAACUUUGCUGAUCCUAUGAGUCCGACGUUUUCUGGUCAACGCUUGGUCCAAUCUUUCCCCCGUCAUGACACGGUGAAACUAGAGGGAGAAAACUUUGUUCAAUGGCAGCAACAUAUCCGAUUGAUAAUAGAGGGAUAUGAGCUGCAAGGUUUCUUGGAAGGUACGCUGUCUGCUUUGUCUCGAUUUAUUGCGUCUCCAGAAGGUGCUCUUAUUCUGAAUCCAGAAGUGGCUACAUUCAAUCAACAGGAUAAGCUAUUAGCUUCUUGGCUCCUAAGUACGAUUAGUUCGUCACUUUUGUCAUGUUUUACCUCUACUCAAUCUGCGUGUGACAUCUAGAGCACCGCAAAUCGUCUUUUUGCUGCGUCAACUAGUGUGAAAAUUUCUCGCAUCAAGCAUGAUCUUCAUUCUACAAAGAAGGGUGAGUUAACUGUCACAGAAUAUAUUGCGAAGAUAGAAAAUACCUGUGCCUUACUUACAGCUCUGGAUCGGUGGUGUCAGAAGCUAAAAAGGUGGAAGUCAUUUUGGCUGGGCUCUCAUCGGAUUUUGAUAUCGUACUAACCUUGGCUUUGUUCUUGACGGAGCCUCUUCCCUUUCUGCGUUUGGUCGAGGUUCUCAUGGAAUUUGAAAGUAAACAGCUGCAAGUGGCGCGUGAGGUUCCCAUCCAUGCUCAUCCUGUUGAAACGCGUAAUGUUGCUGCGAUCGUUGAUUCUGUUUCACGUGAUGUGCGUGGAGGCCGUGUGACAGUAGGUUUGCAAGAGCGUGGCUUCUGUUCGCUCAUGCAGUGCCAAAUCUGUAAUAGGUUCGAUCACAUGGUGCAGCAAUGCUUCUAUCGCUUUAAUUGGUCUUACGAUAGUCUGAAUGCUUCUACCACGGUGAGGUUUUCACCGUCUACGCAUAAUAGACAACAAGGUUUUGGAUCUGGUGACCUUUUGAGAGACUGGUCGUCUUUUCAAAGUCGGAGUGAAUAUCCACCACAACUGCAAGCUACGAAUUUUGGUGAAACUGGCUAUUGGUUGAGUUUGCAGAAGACACAAAUGGACAGUGGUUUGGAUCUGUUGGCCCGUUUGAUUUCUUUGAAAGGCGUGUUGGGCAUGCUGUGGGCCAGUGUUCUGUACAACACAUUGGGCUGCCUUCCUCGGUUGCACACAGGCCCCAUUAUGCAGGCCAGAUUCGUGGGUAGUGUCUUGGACCAAAUGCUGGUCAGGUUUUUAGGUCGGUUCAUGGGUAGAAGACUAGUCAGGUUUUUGGGCAGAAUACUGGGCAUUAUUUUGGGUCAACUAAUAGUAAGUGUUUUAGUCCUAUUAGCGGGAGCAUGAUGUGCAACAAUUUGGGCUGCAUGCAGGCCAGUCUGUUGGGCCUCUUAGUAGGUAGAUUAAUGGGCUGAAUAGUGGACAGGUUGAUGCUAUUCAAAAACUUGGGCCUAAUGCUAAUUUUGUUGGUGUUGAAAGCUCUAUGCAAAAUAAUGCUCCUGUUCCGUAGCGAACAAAACCACGAGUACGUGUUUUUUAUUUUAAUUUCUCUCAGUGUGUUGGGCUACCCCGAAUUCUUGAUUUUCUUGCUUCUGAUUUUUCGGAUGCCACACAGUAUGAUUCCAACUUUGAUAAUAUAUACUAACUCGUGUGUUCCUGUGCCAAUAGGAACCUCAUCAUAGUAUCCAGAUUCAAGGGCAACUCAUCAUGUAUGUCAGAAUGCAUCUGAUUUAAAUGCAUCUAAUUAGGAGCAUUUGAUUCAUUUUGAUAAUGACAUCCUAAUCAUUUAGGCAUAAACAAGAGUUCAUGGGUUAUGCGUCCCUAGAGAACAGGUCAGUGAAACUACAAAUCUCAUCUCCCUGAAGUUGCAGUGGAGCAGACUAAAGAUAAUGAAUCUUAUUUCCCUGAAGUUGCGGUGGAACAGAUUGAAGCUAUAAGUUACAGAUCCUAUCUCUCUGAAGUUACUGUAGAGUAGAUCAUAUCAAACCUUAUCUCCCUGCAGUUGCAGUGGAACAAAUUAAAGACCGGCUACAAAUCUUAUCUCCCUGAAGUUGCAGUAGAGCAGAUUUAAGCCACAAACCUUCCCCUUUGAAAUUGCCGUGGGGCAGGUUGAAAAUACAAGCCUUACUUCCCUGAAGUUGCAGUGGAGCAGACUGAAGCUAUUAAUCCUAUCUCCCGGAAGUUGCAGUGGAGCGGAUUAAAACGAUGAAUCCUAUACCUUUAAAGUUGUAGAGGGUUUGAUUAAAUUUGAUCAUAUCAAACCUUAUCUCCCUGAGGUCGCAGUGGAGUAGUGGAGUAGACUAAAACCAAAACCUCGUCCUCUUAAAGUUGUUGCGAAGAAGAUUGAAGCUACAAGAAGUGCAGUGGAGUGGAUUGAAGCGAUAGGACACAGUGGAUUGGAAUAAGGCUACUUGAAGAAGAGAAGAGUCAAAAGAAGUCGGGACUUGGUGAGACCAGGCAAAAUUGGUCUUCCUUAGUCUUUGCUCUAUUCUCGUUACACGACAACGAGCAAAGAGGGGUAGCUUUACAGCCCAUUUUGCAUUGCCCAGUACCCAAAUAAACCAAAUUACCCACAUCUACCCAAAACCCAAUUACAACCUGGGGCCCAAACCAAAAGACUCAGCCCAAUACCCCUAACCUAACCAAAUCCAACACAGCCCAAAUGGCCCAAUGCAAAAAAAAAGGUGGGAGUCUGAAAACCCUAGCCCUAGGUGCGUCGCACCUAGGGUCUUCUAACCCUUGACCUACCAACCGCCACCACCGCAUGUCUGUCACCGCCGUUGUCAUGUCGACCGGCGCCUAUCAAUCACCUACAGGAGAAAAAUAAACACACAAGCAGUAAAAUAAUAGAAAAAAUGGAAACAAAUCGGCUAUAAAAGUCGAGCACCACUUCUAUAUAUAUAUUCAUUUUUUUUACGACUGGUUAAUGAAAAAGCAGAGCAAAAGCUUUUAAAAAAGGUUCACUCCAGUUUAACUGCUUCUAUUUUUUUUCUGUUAUUGUAUUUUUUCUUUAUUUUUUAUUUUUUUAUGUUUGUUUAUUUUUACGACCCUUUUUAACAAAAACGAAACAAAAUGAGAAAAGGUAAGAUACCUGUUUGCUUCGAAAACCGGCGCCGGAGCCCAUCUUCGACGUCACCGGAGUCGAACAGGGGAGGUUUUUUUCUUUUUCUCUCGGUCCCACGGUUGAUAAGGCCUAGCCUUCAGGGACGCCGUGAAGUGAGGGCUGAAAAGCCCGUUUCGCGCGACUCCAGGCACUGGCCAUGGAGACAGCGCGGCAGUGGCCAGAACUUAAGGGCCGGACAUGUGAGAGAGAGAGAGAAGGAAGUUUUGAAUUUUUUUUUUAAAAAACUUUGUAAAAAUGAUUUUUUUAGAAAAAAAUUUAAGUUAAAUAAUGAUACUUAUACAACGUCGUUUUGACAUUAGGGGGCAGGUGCCAAAACGACGUCGUUUUGACAUUAGGGGGCAGGUGCCAAAACGACGUCGUUUUGGCCCUGACACGUGACCUGACCUGUUGGCCUUCAGGAUUCGCGUGUUUCUGCUGUGAAGGGGCUAUUUGCGCAUGUGGUCCUUCUACUUUUGUGAGGCUUUGCAAUUUAGUCCUAAAAUUUUUUUCUUUACAUUUUGCGGUAUAAUUUCAUUUUUGUUUCUUUUCGGUCCAAACGGAAACGGUGCACUCUAAAGGACUGGGAAUAAUCUCCCAUAUAGUCCUCGCCCUUUUCCAGCGCAUUUCAGUUGGCCCUUUCGUUUUUUAUUUGUAAUUUAUACCUUUAAAGUCGAUUCAAAUUUCGAUCCAGUCCCUUUUAUAUUUAUUUAUCCAUUUUUUUAUAAUUUACACUCCAAAGUUUAUUUUAACCUCAAUUUGAUUCUUUAUCCUUUUAAUUUCAAGCUUUAUUUAUUUAUUUAUUCUUUUCGUUCUGUUUUAUUUAUUUAUUUAUGCAUUCAUGUAUUUAUCAAUUUCCUUACUUUUCUUGUGUUUAGAAUUUAUAUUGUUAUUUAUUCCUUUAUUGAUACAUUUCAUUAUUAUUAUCAUUAUUAUUAGUGUUUAAUUCAUUUUUAUAUUUCUAGUAUUAGAAUAGUAAUUAAUAUGGUCAUUGUUAUUAUUAUUUGGUGAUUAUUAUUAUAAUUACGUCAUGAUUAUUAUUGUAUUUUAUAAUUUAUUAUUUACCCUUUAAAUAUUCUACUAAUAUAGUUAUUUUAUGUUAUUUCAUUAUUAUUGUACUAUACAUUGUAUGAAAUAAUUGUUUGCCUUCACACAAUAUUUGCAUAAAUUAAACUUACAUAUUGUUAUAUUACAUUAAUUCUUACUUAAAUUCAAAAAAGGAAAAUUUUUAAAAUAAGACAACAUUCUGUAUUUAGAAACUCAAGAAAGUCGUACCCUAACUUAUGGGGUUUCGACUUUCUCGAAAAAUUCCAACACACGAAUCAUUUCAAACAAAGUUUUUAAAUGUUCUCGGGAAUUAAUAAAAGAUCGUGUUCUAAAUCACGGGACAUGAUCUCUUUUUUAAACCCGAGAUAAUCGAACUCUUUCAAAAUAAAUAAAUUUUUCGGCUUUCAUUCUCGUAUCGGGAAUUUUAGACAUUGUGUCCUAACUUACUGGACGUAAUUCUUCUUCUCGAUUAACUUGGAAAUAUGCUUCUCCUUUUAAAUUUUUCAAAAUUUUGAUAAAAGGAUCGUAUUAUUUUUCUUUUUUUUUUUAACUCUUCAAAAUUUUCAAUUUUCGACGCUAAGACACUAAUUAAUCAGCUAGAUACCAAUUUUGGGCGUUACGAAGGUGUUAAUCCCUCGUCGUACGUAACCGAUUCCUGAACCCAUUUUCUUUUUUUUAUCGUGGACCAAAAUCAUUGUUUUUUCAAAUCGUUUAUUAAAAUAACUAUUUUUCGAGGUGGCCCGAUCACACCUCAUCAAAAAAGAUUAGUGGUGACUCCCACAUUCGUUUUCAUUUUUUAAAACCCGAGUUGACCCCAUUUUAUCAAAAAAAAAUGGUGUCAACAAUGAUAAGAAUAUAAAAACAAAAUUGAGGUUUGGUUUUAUGUUUUUUUAUUGCUUUUUAAGUAUGGUUUUCAACAGCCAAUAUAUUAGUUGAAAGUGAUCAACUUUAAAGGGUCCCAAAACCUGAUCAAUACCCUAGACUUUAAAAUUGUAGAUGUCCAUCCAUCAUUUGGAGUGCUUAAGAGGCUUAAACUUUUGAAUUUCAAAGACUGCAAAAGUUUUAGGAGUCUUCCAACCAGAAUUGAAGUGAAAUCCCUUGAAACAUUGAUUCUUUCGUGUUGCUCAAACCUUCAAAGAUUUCCAGAUAUCGAUGGGAAAAUGAAAUGUUUACAAACUCUUAAUCUUUCUGGUUAUUAUAGAGUUGAAAAUUUACCAGAAAAUCUGCAGCAAGCGAAGUUUUUAGAAGAGCUCGAUUUAAGUGAAACAGCCAUAACAGAGCCACCAUACUUCACUUUUCAAUCUAAAAAUCUUAAAUUUAGUGGGUUUGGCCUGCCCUACAGGCAUUGAUUGCCUUAGAGCCACUGACUGCUACAGAUUGGCUGAGAAUAUCAAUCCAUUAACAUUGCUAAUUAUUAAAUACGUAAAAUACAAACCGUCCAACAUUUUUAAUUAUUACUUGUAAUUAAAGUAGACUCCACUUUGCCAACUAUCACCUUCUUGGAAACAACAUCCAUCGCUCAUCUUUGACCCCUAAUUUCCACCCCUAUGCUCAUAUACUUACUUUUUCUAGUUUCUUUGUGGAUAUUGGGCGAUCUAUUUUCUGAUUUGGAACACCAGAUUGAGAAAUCCUUCUCCUUUCAUACAUCCUCAUGUUAUCGUUCCAUUCAACUUCUUCCUCCAUUUCUGAAAAGAAAUAUGAUGUUUUCUUGAGUUUUAGAGGUGAAGAUACUCGCAACAACUUCACGGAUCAUCUUUAUGAUGCUCUAACUAAUAGAAAAGUCAACAAUAUUCAUUAUAUGUCUAACUAAUAACAUUAUAAAAAUAUAUGAUUAAAUUAGGUUAGAAAUUAAAUCUUAAAUUUAGGCAUAAUAAAAAAACUAAAAUUGAAAUUCUAACAUUUUCUUAUAAUGUAAAAGAAAAAAAAUCCUAUACAUUAAAUUAAUAAAUUGUAUUCAUACAUAAAAUGUUAUGAUAGUGAGUAAAUAUAAGUUAUUUUAGUCUGCACCUAAUGAACAUUUUAAAUGCUUCAAAUAGAACUUAAUCAUAUAAAAGGCAAAAUGUGAGGGACCGAAUUUAAAAUAACGCAUUGUACGUCCUCCCUGGACAGGUGUCUCCAAAUACUCCUUUAAUAUAUAGUUAUAUGGACAAUUAUAUGAUUAUGUAAAUGAAAGUAAAAGACAAACCGUCCAACACUUUACUUAUUACUUAGAAUUAUUGUAGGCUCCAUUUUGUCAACACCCACCUUCUUGGAUUCUUCCUGGAAAGAACAUGCAUCACCCAAUGUCCAUACCUACUCGUAUUCAUUUCGAAAAUUCAAAGGUUAUAGAGAAAUUGCUUAGAAACGUCCUUUAUUCUUCCCUGGAAUUUUCACCUGUUUUUUUCAAUCUUCACUCUCAUAUACUUAUUGUUUCUAGUUUCUUUCUGGCGUGUUGAGCGAUCAAUUUUCUGAUUUUGAACACUAAAUCCACAUAUAUUUUUCUUCUCAAACACUGUCAUGUUGUCAUUACCUUCAACUUCCUCAUACAUUUCUAGAAAGAAAUAUGAUGUUUUCUUGAGUUUUAGAGGUGAAGAUACUCGCAAAAACUUCACCGAUCAUCUCUAUGCUGCUCUAAAGAGGAGUGGGAUCGUCACUUUCAGGGAUGAUCCAAAGCUGGAGGCCGGCGAAGAGAUCGCGCCAGAACUCUUCAAAGCAAUUCAGCAAUCAUGGUGCUCGGUAAUCGUUUUUUCACAAACUUAUGCCUUUUCAAGUUGGUGCUUGGAGGAGCUUGCUGAGAUUGUUCAACAAACAACGACGGCCAUAAAGUGUUUCCAAUUUUUUACGAUGUUGAUCCAUCUGAUUUAAGAAAACAAAAAGGGAAAGUGGAAGAAGCCUUUGCCAGACAUGAAGAGAGAUACAAAGCAGAAAGUGAGAAGAUCCAAAGGUGGCGAAAUGCUUUAAUUCGAGUGGCUGCAGUCAAGGGAUGGCAUUUAAAUAACAGGUAAUUCUUUCUUUUCUUCUCUAUUUUCUAGUUUUUUGGAUAUGUAUACUUUUUUCUUUUUUUCUAAUCCUAUGUGUUUAAUUGAAAAGUGUUUCAAUAAGAGAGAAAAUUUUGUCUUCUGGCUCCGCAACAGAUCUUGCUUUCUUAUUCUUGGUUCUUGUUUUCUUCCAAACUAUUUUAUGUUUCAUGAUUCAUUGAAAAAGAAAGUGCAUUCGAAACAUAUCACUGAAAACAUUAAAAUUUCUUCUUUUUAGGCAUGAAUCUGAAUUUAUUGGAGACAUUGUUAAGAAGAUAUCAGCAAAACUAUGUCGGACAUAUCCAGUUACUCAUAGCGACUUGGUUGGUAUUAGUGAACGCUUGGAGGAUUUGUAUUUGAAAAUAAACAUUGGGGAAGAUGAUGUCCGCGUUAUAGGAAUUUGCGGAAUGGGUGGCAUCGGUAAAACGACACUCGCAAGAGUUGCUUACACUCAAAUGUCACCUCAUUUUGAAGGUAAAAGUUUUAUUGCUGAUAUUCGAGAAGUUUCAGACAAAUGCGGACUAGUUUCUUUACAGAAACAACUUCUUUCACAGAUCUUUCAUGGUGAAUGCUUCAACUUUUUCGAUGUUCAUGAAGGGAGUGACAUAAUUAGCCAUAGGUUGUCUCACAAAAAGGUUCUUGUUGUUCUUGAUAAUGUUGAUAACAUACAACACUUAAAAUGCUUGGUUGGAAGGCACGAUUGGUUCGGAUUAGGAAGUAGAAUCGUUGUAACAACAAGAGAAGAACAUUUGCUUCGAUCUUGGCCAGUUGAUGAUAUGUAUGAGCCCACAACAUUAAAUCCCAAAGAUGCGCUUCAACUUUUCAGUCUGAAAGCUUUUCAUAGUGAUACAGUGCAGAAAGAUGAUUUUAUUGAGCUUUCUAAACAUGUUGUAAAUUAUGCUGGUGGACUCCCUUUAGCUCUUGAAGUUUUUGGUUCCUUUUUGUGCGGUAGAGAUGCGACUCAAUGGAGAAGUGCGAUUGAAAGACUUAAAAGAGAUUCUAAUAAAGAAAUUCUCGAUAAACUUCGAAUCAGUUUCGAUGGACUGGAAGAAAGGGAGAAGAAUAUAUUUUUAGAUAUAGCAUGCUUCUUCAAUGGGGAGGAGAAAAAUUUUGUGAUUAAAGUAUUAGAUGGUUGUGAGUUUUUUCCUGAUAUCGGAAUUGAUGUUCUCGUUAAAAAAUCUCUCCUAAAAGUCGAUGAACACAACAAAUAUUUGAAGAUGCAUGACUUGUUGCAAAAAAUGGGAAGAACAAUUGUUAAAGAAAAAUGUGUUGAUGAACCUGAAAAACGUUGCAGAUUGUGGGAGGAAAGGGACGUCCAUCAUGUCCUAACAAAAAACACUGUAAGUCAUUCAACAAAAGUUACAUACUAUUUCUUUUUUAUCCUACAUUAUUCACUAUUUAUUUUAUUUUCUUAUUGUCUAUUCUUGAUUUUUUUAGGCUACAAAAAUGAUUGAAGGCAUAAUCAUCGAUAAUAAAAGGUAAGAAGACACACAUAAACUUAUAUGUGUAUAUUAAAAAAAAAUUAAAAAUUAUUUUUUUCAUGUAUUUAAAAGGUUCUUAAAGGAUCAUAUCUUCAUACCCAUAUACGAAUGUGCAUUAGAUAUAAGUAUUGGAUACGAGUACUUAAAAAACAAUAUCAAUGCAACAUUUCUUUUAGAUAUUGAAUGUUUUUAUAUAUUUUGAAGCUCAUUUUUGUUUUGCUCAUGGAUAUUAGGGAAUCGAUCAAGAUGCUCAAUUUGAGUGUGGAUACCUUCUUGAAGAUGAAAAAACUGAGAUUGCUCAAAGUGCUUUGCCUUUCAAAUUGUAAUGAUCUCAAAUAUCUUUCUAAUGAACUACGACUUUUAGAUUGGACAGGAUACCCUUUAAGAUACUUGCCUUCAAGCUUUCAACCGGACAACCUUGUCGCACUUCUUUUACCAUAUAGUCACAUUCAACAACUAUGGAAGGGAAAUAGAGUAAGAAUUAACUCAUCUUAUCCUUGUGUUUUAGCUUAUUUUAAUAAAAAUUAUUAAACUUUGAUUAAGGUAAAACAGAAAAAAAAAAAAAUUGAGCAUUAUUAUGUUUUCUCAUUUGUUUCUAAUUUAUUAUGGUCUUCAACAGCCCUUGUUUAACUUGAAAAUAAUGAACCUCAGAGGGUCUCAAAACCUGAUCAAGACACCAAACUUCACAACCGCAUCAAAUCUUGAAGUUUUGAUUUUGGAAGGUUGUACCAAAUUAGUGGACGUUCAUCCAUCAAUCCAGGUGCUUAAGAGCCUUAAACUUUUGAAUUUAAGAGAUUGCAAAAGUCUUGGGACUCUUCCAACCAAAAUUGGAAUGGAAUCUCUUGAAACAUUAAUUCUUUCGGGUUGCUCAAGUCUUGUAAGGUAUCCGGAGAUUGAUGGGAAAAUGGAACGUCUAAAAACUCUAGAUCUUUCCGGUUGUUAUAGAGUGGAAAAUUUGCCGGAGAAUUUACAGCAAGCAAAGUUUUUGGAAGAGCUCGACUUGAGUGAAACAGCCAUAACAGAACCACCAUCCUUCAUUUUUCAAUUUAAAAAUCUUAAAGUUCUGUCUUUCAAUGGGCGCAAGGGACCAUCAUAUAAGUUACUACCAAAUUUGCCUUCUCUUUUCAAGGUGGAAGAAUGACGAAUCCCAUGGCUCGGAUGUUGCCCUUGUUGUCAGGUUUGAGUUCUUUAAGACAGCUAAAACUAAGGGACUGCAAUCUUUGUGGAGGAGAUCUUCCACGUGAUAUUUCUGGUCUAUCCUGUUUGAAAGAACUUGAUCUUAGUGNNNNNNNNNNNNNNNNNNNNNNNNNNNNNNNNNNNNNNNNNNNNNNNNNNNNNNNNNNNNNNNNNNNNNNNNNNNNNNNNNNNNNNNNNNNNNNNNNNNNCUACUCUCGAAGCUUGCAAAUCUUAAAUUGUCAAAUUGCAACAUGUGCACUGUUGGUGAAGCAGAUAGUCAUAGUGAUAUUUCUUGUUUAUCAUCUUUGAGAAGUCUUAAUCUUAGUGGUAACAAUUUCAUCACCAUUCCUUUGGCUCUUACUCAACAUUCCGGGCUGCAACGGCUUGUAUUGUCAGACUGCAAGAUGCUUAAAUUGUUGCCUGCGCUAUCAACAAAUAAACGAGUGCGGAUAGAUGGUUGUUCUUCACUUGAAGUAGUUGCAAGUCCAUCAAAAGUAUGCAAUUUAGUGGGUUGUGACAUUACUGCCAUUAACUGCUUCAAAUUGGCUGAGAAAAUCAAUGCAUUAACACUGCUGAAAGAACAUAUUAAGGUCUAUUAAUCUAUUUUUUCUCCCUUACAAAAUCUCAUACUUCAGAAUUUAUGGUUUUAGUUACCAGACGACUUGUGUUUUAUUUUGCAGGCGGUUCGAUAUCCAAGAGAUUGUUUUCAUGGUGGCAUCGUUGAUAUUAUGAUGCCCGGAAGUGAAAUUCCAGAAUGGUUUAGCCAACAAAAAAGUGAUUUUUCAAUUAAGAUACCCCUACCUAUCAACCUUUGGAAAGAUAGUCAAUGGAUUGGAGUUGCUUGUUGCUGCAUUUUUGUCAAUAAUGAUGCUUCAAGGAACGAGUGUAUCCACUGUGAUGGAUCUAUUUUUCGAGGUAAAAAUUGUCGACCAAUCUGUCAGAGAAACCGGUGGGUAGGUCAACGCUUUGACAAGCCCAUAAUGAAAGAUCAC